AUCGCCGUGGGCGCGAGAAUCCAUCAUGUUAGGCAUGCCAAUCACCGCAGAAGCGAGCAUGGAAAGAGAGAAGGGGACGCUUGAUGAAGAUGAAGAUGAAGAUGAAGAUGAAGAUGAUUUGUUUGUAGGCAUGCCAAUCUCCGCAGAUGCGAACAUGGAAACAGAAAGGACAAUGCUUCUUGUAAGAAAUAUAAGUGCUCCUUCCACACACGGACCCCACGCCCCCGCUGAUGAAGAUGAAGAUGCGGAGCAUAAGAAAUUAAUGGACCGCCGCAUGCACGCGCUAGCGACCCAAGGAAAUGUUGAUGGCUUUAUUAAAAUUUUAGGCUCGAUAUCCUCCGAACAGAACCCACUUCUCUGCCAAGUUAGUCCCCGGAAAAACACAUGCCUCCACAUAGCAGCAAGCUUUGGACACCAUGAUCUUGCCAAGUACAUCGUGAAAGAGUGUCCAGAUCUUAUAAAAAAUAAAAACUCCAAAGGCGACACGGCACUUCAUAUUGCUGCUAGAAAAAGGAAUUUAUCUUUCGUUAAGAUUGUCAUGGAUUCAUGCCCUUCUGGAGGUGGCGCAUCCCAAGAUGUAGAGAAGGCUGAGCCUUCAUUGCUGGGAAUUGGUAACAAAGAAGGAAAUACAGUGUUGCAUGAGGCACUGAUAAACCGUUGCAAACAAGAAGAGGUGGUGGAGAUCCUUAUUAAGGCAGAUCCCCAAGUGGCUUAUUAUCCGAAUAAGGAGGGAAAGUCACCAUUGUAUCUAGCUGCAGAAUCACACUACUUCCACGUCGUAGAGGCUAUAGGAAACUCUGAAGUUGAGGAGCGCAUGAAGAACAGAGACCGCAAAGCAGUCCAUGGUGCCAUUAUGGGAAAGAAUAAGGGUAUUUCCCGCCUCCUUCUCUCUCUCUAUUAAAUUUUCUUCUUCCUCUUCAAACUUAAAAAGCAUUGUUUGCAAUGACGAUGGGGCUUAAAUAAUCUGUUGCUUCUAACCAUAGAAGAAGUCUACUGGGCUUGUCUCAGCUUUUGCUUCAAUAUUCCUUGUUCCUAAAAAUUCAAAUUUUUUUAUUAAUUUAUGGGAGAUCCAUAAUAUUUACAACUCUUCUUUCCCAACCCAAACCCCGUCGUAAAUAUUCUUCAUCUUUGUUUUCAAAAUCCUAAUCCUAUUUUGUCAUCUUCUAAUUAUUCUUCUUCAAAACUCCAGUCCUAAUUAAUUCUUUAUUUUAUUUUCUAAAUCACAAAAAUUUAAAAUUAACUAUAAAAAAAAAAAAAAAAAAUUGCAGUUACAUAUGGCUUCGUUGUGUGCAUAUGGGAUGGUUUAAUUAAAUAGAGGGGGUAAAAAGGGCCGUAAGAGGGAAGAACAAUUGUCUGUAUAGUUUGGGGUUGACUUCAAGUGAUCAUUUAAGAUUUGAUUUCGAGAUUAAGGUUAGAGUUAGGAUUUUUCUUUUCCCUUUUUUUUUCUUUAUGUUAUAUGUUUCUUAUAGAUGCGAUGAAGUAGAAUGGAUCCUACACAUUUGAAAGAAACACAAAUUAUAAAUGAUGUGAUGAUUUUCUAUUAUUCCCCAUUUAACUAUUGCAAUAUUAUUAAGAGUAUGGAUGGGAAUAAGAUAGGUGUUUACAGAAAUCAUCCCGUUGAGUUUGAAAUUUAAAUAAAUGAGGUUUGAAAUGAGUUUGAGAUUUUUUCAAAGAAUUAAACAGAGCCAAAUGGGGUGGGACAUGUAUGAGGACGUUUAAUUUUUUUUUAUUGGGAUGGGACUUAGAAAUAUUUUGAAUAAAUGAGAUGGGGGUUGGGAUAGAAGUGACCAUCCCGAAUCCACCCCAUUUCAAUCCCUAAUUAAGAAGAAGAUAAUGUAAAUAACAAAAUUUACAGAAUUUUUAAAAUCCAAGGAGGGAACUUAUAAUUAAAGGAAGCUUUUAAAAGGAUGGGCACCCCAUGUGGUACAACCUCACACCAAAUUGAUACUGUUUUGUUGAAUUACAGAUAAUAAAAUAAUCAAUUAAAAAAAAUCUCUUUUCUAUUUUUAUAUUAAUUUUCCUUCCUUAUUUUAAUUAUCUAAUAAUUGAACCCUUUCCAAACAAAAAAAAAAGCAAUCUUAAUUUUAUUUUUUAUAUGUGAAUUUUUUUUUAUGUAAUUUUAGUUAUUAAUGACUUGCACUCAUAUAAUAAUAUAUUUAUUAGAAAAAGGUUGUUUGAAACAUUCAUAUAAAUUUUUCUUUUAUAUAUGAUGAAAAAAUGCCAGAGAUGUUGGAAAAAAUACUGGCCAUGAGGCUCGUCCACCAAAAAGACGAAGAUGGAAGGACUCCACUUCAUUGUGCAGCAUCCAUUGGAUAUCUCGAAGGAGUUCAAAUGCUGUUAGACCAAUCUAACUUGGAUCCAUAUCGAACGGACUCUCAUGGCUUCUGUCCCAUCCAUGUUGCAUCAAUGAGAGGCAAUGUGGACAUUGUCAAAAAGUUGCUCCAGGUCUCCUCUGACUCAGUAGAGUUGCUAAGCAAACUCGGUGAGAACAUUCUUCAUGUGGCAGCCAGGUAUGGUAAAGACAAUGUAGUCAAUUUUGUGCUCAAAGAAGAAAGGCUUGAGAACUUUAUAAAUGAGAAGGACAAGGCUGGAUACACGCCACUGCAUUUGGCAACCAUGCAUAGACAUCCCAAGGUCGUAAGCUCUUUAACAUGGGAUAAAAGAGUUGAUGUGAAUCUUGUGAAUGAUUUAGGCCAGACUGCUUUGGACAUUGUAUUAUCAGUGGAGCCUCCAACUACAUUUGACCAGGUAUAUCUAUAUGAUGAUUUGCAUCUUGUUUUCUAAAUGAUGGGUACUACUAGUAGUUUCACCCUUCAACUGCAUGCCAUGAGUAGGAAAUUAGAAUGCCUCAUCCAUGCAUUGUUACAGUGCUAUGGCAUUUUCCUUCUUAGAUGCAUGCAUGCAAUUAAAUUAUUAAAAGGAUCGAUCAGGACAACAUGGUUUGUUUUCCUUUCCUAGAAGGACCGACUAAUAUUAAUAAGAACUAGAUCAACACUUCAACUCAAGCCACUAACCCUUGAUUGAAGGUCAAUUUGAGCCCAAGAUAUCCUAAAAGUCAAGAAAAUUAUGGAGCCUAACUCAAUCACCAUCACCCUCGCCCAGAUUAGAGCGACUCAACCAAGGUUAGGCUAGGUUUCUCCAGCAAGUGCAUAUACUCUUGAUGUCGGCAAAGACUUAUGGGAAUAAUUUUUUGCAUCAUACUAAAAAGUUUUCAGUGUAGAGAACUGCUAUAUCAUGUGCGCUUGUGGUUGCUCUCUUGCUGCUUCACAUUGCUUAAUUUCAUACUUCUAGUGGGUGUUCAUUGAAUUUACAGGGAAAAGAGAAUAGCUUCCCAACAAAAUAUUACGAAACCCAACUCAUGGAAUUAUAGUCUACUUUUAGUUAUUAUUACGACACAUACAUUUUAUGUUCUCUCUUUCUCACGAUUACAUUAACAGCAACAUUUUUUUCUCUACUACGCAGGCACUAAUUUGGACAGCACUCAAAUCUGCUGGUGCACGACCAGCGGGAAAUUCAAAGUUCCCACCCAAUAGACGUUGUAAACAGUACUCUGAAUCACCUAAAAUGGACAAGUACAAGGACAGGGUAAACACUCUUUUGUUGGUUUCGACCCUUGUUGCCACAGUGACAUUUGCUGCUGGUUUUACCAUGCCAGGUGGCUACAACAGCUCCGACCCAAAUGUCGGCAUGGCUGCCUUGCUGAUGAGAAAUAUGUUCCAAAUGUUCGUCAUCUGCAAUACCACUGCUAUGUAUACCUCCAUCCUCGCGGCAAUCAUCCUCAUCUGGGCACAGUUAGGUGAUCUCAAUUUGAUGGAUACUGCCCUCAGAUUUGCAUUGCCAUUCUUGGGGUUGGCCCUUACUGCGAUGUCCUUAGGCUUCAUGGCAGGUGUUUACCUGGUGGUCAGUAAUCUUCAUUGGCUUGCAAUUGUUGUCGUCAUUAUUGGAAUCAUCUGCCUUGUCGGUCUCCUAGUACCCUUUUUUUUACUUUUCCUCCCAAGUAAGUCUACUAAUCGUAUCCUUAGGCACAUCUCCUAUUAUCCGUUUCUUAUAUUGGUAUGGGCAUCUAAAAGCCCCGAAAUGAAACGGGAAGAUUAGCUAGCCCUGUUGAUGAUGUCUGCUAGCUCCAUCUUCCCCUAUGUUUGUUGCUUCUUUCAGCAUUAUCUCAAUGACUUGGUAGACAAAGUAUGUUAUGUAUAAAUGCUUAGUGUGAUAUAUUGAUGGUGUUGUACAUGACCAUUUCUUAUAUAAAUCUAUGGUUUUUGGAUCUAUAAUUAGGUAGUUCUAUAUAUAUUUCAAUAAAUACUCCAUUCAUACAUAAAUAACCUGAAUUCGUUAUUAAUAGGUUCAGUUUAAUUUAUUGAUUGAAAUUUGAAUUUGCAAUUGCAAUUUUUACACUUUUUUAAUUAUUAUUAUGAGAAUUUUGAUUUUCAAAUCGGUUGCAUCUUCUACAUUACAAUUCAUUGGGAAGGGGAAAAGGUUUUAAUUUUGGAAAAAAAAAAUUUAUUGGCUUUUGAGUUCCAAAGAAUUUUUCAAAAUUAAGGAGUUUAAUAAUUUUUUAAAAAUAAUUUGAAAAUAAAAUAUCGAGGGAGUUAACACUAGAACUAAGAAUUAGUUGAAAAUGACUAUAUUAAUCUCUAGUUUAUGCACAAUUAUAUUUUUCAUUAUAUUUUAUUAUAUUAUUAAUAUUCAUAUUUUAUUAAAAAUUAUUUAUUUUGAAUUUAUUUAUAAUUAAAAAAUUAUUUUUAUUUUUAAUAAGACACAAAUUAAAUUUAACUUAUAUUAUAUAAAUUAAAUUUAUAAUUUUGUGAUUUUUACAAAAUAAAAAUAAAAUUUAUUUUUAGAAACAACUAAUUUAAUUCUUAUAAUCAUUUAAGUUAUCUAAAUAUAGAAAUAAAUGAGAAAAUAAUGGAGAUCUUCAUUUCCAUUCCUGUUUUACCGCGUGGCAAACAGUCCCUCAUCUUAAUUAAUAACAUAACAUGAUUUAUAUAUUUGAUGGACGGUAAAAUCAACCCUUUGUUUGGUAACUCAUAUUGUAGUAAACCCUAAGUUGAGUUUGAUGAUAGUCGGACGUAUUGAUGACGGAUUUGACGGACAUAACGUUCAAACCCGCUCAAAGACUCAAUCAAACCCACAGAACUUCACAACUGAUUAAAAUAAUUUUAUAAACCAAAAUGAUCAAACUUUGUAGUUUCUGGGAUUCGUGUUGAUGCUUCCAAAUAGGUUCCAAGAUGUUCCCAGUGAGUUUGGAAAAGAGAGAAGUGGAUUCCUUGAGCUUCUCAAACAUUUUCUAAGAAAUUGUCAAACACUUGGUCUCUUCAUCUAACCCGUAUGAUUCAAACACACCCAUGAAGACUUUUCUUCAUAGGACGUCACAUUUCAAACUCCAGCAAACGAGUAAGAUAUUUGAGUUGCCGUGCUUCAUAUCCAUUCCGUGUCUGUUGGAAGUCCUAUGUGAUGUAAGUUGGACUAUCAAAUGAAUUUCUUUUAGUAUCAUAUUUUUUAUUCAACUUAUCAUAUGUAUGUAAUGCAUAGGUUCUUCUCUCACAGAUUGACUUGGCCCUUACUUCCAUCCCAAGCAAGAAAGUGCAGGUAUCUCAUGGCCGGCAGUGGACUAAUGAUAUAUGAACUCAUUUUAAAUUGGGUCUGACUAACUUGGCCACUGGGGUUGUUACCUCGAAAGGACUUGAGUGGGGUUCAUGUUUAAGUCUUUCUUUUUUAAUCUAGGUAUGUACUGUGUGUGCUCUCUUCUUAUUUUAGUCGAAUUCAAAGAAUAGUUGUUUCUUCCUAGUCUUGGUAAGUGGUUGCUCAAGGAUAUCAUAUUAAGAUUUUUAUUAUUUUUAUUUUCUGUUUUUGACUUAGUGCCUUCUCAAGAUUUUGAAUUGUCAAAAAAGCUGGUUAUAUUGUAUAAACAAUCAUCAUAGUAUUAGAAUUAGCAUAUAUAAUUUGGUAUUGAUGUGCAUGUUCUCUUCCUCUGUAUGACCUAUCCUUUGCGAUGAAGUAUCGGACUGGUUUCUUUGUUGCCAUUAUUUCUUUUUUCUUUUAAACUUCUUAAACCAACAUAAAUACAAGCACAGCUAACGGAUUUGAUUAGGCAAGUCAACUACAAUAGGAGAUAUUAUGAGACAAGACGAUUUAAUGAUGAAUUUUGAGAGGCUAAGAAAGCAGGGGAGGGGAGAAAGAUGGAAGACAGGGAAACAAAGGCAAAAACAACCCAAGAAGCAAGCCAUCUUGGCAAUCUCUGAGCUUAAGGAUGCCAAAUUAUUGGAGGACUAUGUGACAGCUAGUUCCAUGGAUCCUGAUUUGUACAGAGCUACGAUACAAGGAGACAUUCUUGAAUUCAUAAAAGCCGUGGAACAAGGACCAGACAAUAGACACGCUGGUGUACCUGCUGCAUCUUGUAUCCAAGUGACCCCUCAGAAGAACACAGUUCUUCACCUAGCAACGAUCUUUGGACAUGACGAGAUUGUAAAACUCAUUUCUAAGGACUUGCCCUUUCUUGUCAUGGAAAGAAAUUGCAGAGGUGACACUGCACUUCACAUUGCAGCCAGAGCUGGCAAUUCACUGCUAGUGAAUUUGUUGAUUAAUUCAACAGAAGGGGUUUUGGGUGUGAAGAAUGAGACGGGUAAUACCGCAUUGCAUGAGGCAUUGCAACAUCGUCAUGAAGAGGUGGCCUGGAAUAUAAUUAACAAGGACAGAAAUAUGUAUUGUUCUGUCAAUAAGGAAGGAAAAUCUUUGUUGUAUUUGGCCGCAGAAGCAGGAUAUGCAAAUCUUGUUAGGUUUAUAAUGGAAAAUCCUGCAGGAAACUACAGCAUUGAAGGAAAGCUCGAGAACAAACCAUCUGUGAAAGCUGCCAUUCUUGGGAAGAAUACAGGUAAAUGAAAUUCUCUCCUCUAAUCUCCCUUUUUUUUCCCUUUAUUGGUAUGCUUGUCUUUCAAUUUCAGACUUCCAAGAGUCUGCACUUGGAUUGGAAAUUUUUAAGUGACUGCACUUUCACACUUCUUAGUUUUUUCCUACAAAAAGCCCUGCAACUACUAUAAACCACCCAAUUCUCUGCACCUGUGAAUCAGAAAACUUUACCCAAACUAUAUUGCAUCCAAUUGUCACCAUUAAAAGGUAAUGAUAUCAUGGCACAUAAGAGCAUUCUCAUUUUUCUGGAAGUUGGAAGACCUCAAUUAUUUCUUGCUUAAUUAAUUGGUGAUAUUCCUGUGCUUCCAUGUUUGAACUAGUGUGUCCAUUGUAAUCUCCUUCCAUGGAUUUCCUUAGGUGUGGCUGCCCAUCAAGAAGAGAUCAGGAAUAGUCCAGAAAUAUUACUGUCUUAUUCUAAUCACAUGAGUAUCUAGCAGUAAAGAAAUAUAUCUGUAGUAGCUGAUUUUUUUAGAUAGGUCCUCUAGUAGCCAAUCGACCUUUUUUCUUUACAAGAAGGCUUCUAUUGUGACUUGUGAAGACAGUGAUAAAUUGACAAUAUUUCUGAUUAUCAUUUGGAUUUAGGAGCAUAUUUUACCAUAUAUUUUGUUCUCACACAUGGCAAGAUUUUCAUUUAAUGUGUUAUCAUCAGUCCUGUGAUCACCAAAAAAUUCGCUUAAAUAUGGUUCACACUUCUUUGUUUGUUUGUUUUCAUUUUUUUGUUUUGGGCGACAUUAGAUGUUCUCAAGAUAAUGUGGGAAAGAGAUCAAUCAUCCUUCAAUUUAAGAUGUGAAGAAGGGAGGAACCCUCUUCACUAUGCAGCAUCUAUUGGUUUUGUUGAAGGAAUCAAUUACUUUUUAGACAAAUACUGUAUCGCUGCUUACCAAGGGGACAAAGAUGGCCUCUCUCCUAUUCAUAUAGCAGCCAUCAAAGGUCAUUUCCACAUAAUUCAAGAGAUGCUCCAGCAUCGCCCAGAUUUGAUGGAGCUGCUCACUUGCAAAGGCCAGAAUACCCUUCAUGUCGCAUGGUACUUGACUUUCAAUUAUUUUAUGCUGAUGGUGGUAUGGUACUUGACUUUCAAUGAACAAUGGUUAACUUUUGGUGAGAUGUAUUUGCUGGUGUAUAACCUGAUAUUUUUAGUUUGAAUAUUCUGAGGGAUAAAAAAGAAAUAAUGAUAUUUAAAUAAGUAUUUUUUAUUUAACAAUAUUAAUAAUUUUAUUUAUGAAUUUAUAUUUAUCUUUUAUUUAAUUAGUAAAUAAAAUAUAUAAUAAGAUAAUUAAGAUUAACUUAUUUAUAAUAAUUCUAUUUUAAUUCAUUAAUAAUAUAAUAUAUAUUUAUAAUUUAUCAAUUAUGUCUUCCCUAAACAAAAACUUUGUCCAUUGAUAUAGGUCAUUUCUUAAUUUGUUCGAGAAUCUAGGUUUAUUUUCUACUCUUGUGGGCUAGUGAAUUUUUUUUUUUUUUUUUUGAAGUGUAAGUGUUACAAUAACCCCACAUCAGAAAUAAAAAAACACCCCCUAACCCUAACGUACCGUACAAAUGAUCUUUUAUUAACUUAGACAUUUACUUGACCAAAGCAAAAGCCAUUAGAUGCUUGUCUUGUAAUGCAAUCUUGCCCUUUGUUCAAUUCACAGCCUUAAAUGAUUCACUGUCAUCCAAUAGAUGGAAAUGGUGAUCUUAAUCGGUUUUUAAAAAUAAAUAAUUGUUUUUGUAUAAUUAAAAAUUAAUUAGGAUUAAAGAUUAAAAAACAAGACUAAAGUUUAAAUUUUGUUUGAAUUUUAAAAUUUAGAAAUUUAAAAAUAAAAAAAUGUAAAAUCAGAAAGGAUUGAAAUUAGGAUCUGUAUAUGAUAUAUUUGUGCGUCGGUAUAGAAGAUUGGGAUUGGAUUGAAGUAGAAAAUUCAAAAUGAAAUUACAAUAAGAAUACGGUAAAGGGAUAACGUUGGGACACCACUACUGGUGUACACUUCCAAGGCUGGAUGUAAAAGAAGGCCAUGCCAUGUCAUGCCACCUGGAACAAAAUAAGGGGUUCUACAGAUUCUCUUAUCGGAAUCAUUUGAGAUAUGGAUGCAUAGAAGGAAAGGAGACUCCUCUAAAACUUGUGUAAACUUGUGUUUGUGUGUAGGUGAGAGGUUGGGACUCUCCGAUCAAUAAGGAACUCGGAGCAGAUUCGAACAAGGAAGAAGGCGGGGAAGGGCAGAUGGCACCACACAUGCCAUUCUCCGCAGAUGUGGACAUGGAUAGAGAUAGAAGUGCUCCUUACAGGUAUAAACACAUCGUCCCUGCAAUCUCCGCAGAUAGAAGUGCUCCUUCCACACAUGUGGGCAUGGCUAGAGAUAGAAGUGGUCCUUCCACACAUGUGGGCAUGGCUAGAGAUAGAAGUGCUCCUUCCACACAUGUGGGCAUGGCUAGAGAUAGAAGUGCUCCUUCCACAUAAGGAGUCGUCGCUCCCGCCGAUGAAGAUGAAGAUGUGGAGCAGGAUAGAUUAAUGGACAGCCGCAUGUACAUGCAGGCGACCCGAGGACGUGUUGAUGAAUUUAUUCAAAUUUUAGAAUCGAUAUCCUCUGAAAAGGAACUUUAAAGCUCAGAAAUCCUCUCCCAAGUUAGCCCCCGGAACAACACAUGCCUCCACAUAGCAGUAAGAUUUGGACACCAUGAGCUUGCCGAGUACAUCGUGAAAGAGUGUCCAGACCUUAUCAAAAAGACAAACUCCACAGGCGACACUGCACUUCAUAUUGCUGCUAGAAAAAAGGAUUUAUCUUUCGUUAAGUUUGCCAUGGAUUCAUGUCCUUCUGGAAGUGGCGCAUCCCGAGAUGUAGAGAAGGCUGAGCAUCCAUUGCUGAUCAUUGUUAACAAAGAAGGAAAUACAGUGUUGCAUGAGGCACUGAUAAACCGUUGCAAACAAGAAGAGGUGGUGGAGAUCCUUAUUAAGGCAGAUCCCCAAGUGGCUCAUUAUCCGAAUAAGGAGGGAAAGUCGCUAUUGUUUCUAGCUGCAGAAGCACACUACUUCCAUGUCGUCGAGGCUAUAGGAAAACCUAAAGUCGAGAAGCACAUGAACAUUAACAGAGACCGCGAAGCCAAGCCGGCAGUCCAUGGUGCCAUUCUGGGAAAGAAUAAAGGUAUGACCCGUCCCAUUCUCAAUCUCCAUUUAAUUCUCCUGCUCUUCUUCUUCUUCUUCAAACCUAAAAAACACCAUUUCCAAUAAAAUCUUAAACCUAUAUUCGAUUCUCAUAGUUGAAAAAAAAAUUAUUAAGGAAAGUGAUUUUCUAAUAUGCUGUUUUACCAUGAAAACAUGAAAGAAAGUGAAAUAUAAUUAAAAUUAAUAAGAAAUUUAUAUCAUUUAAAAUUAUUUAAUUUUUAUAUAGAAUAGUUAAAUAAGUAAAAUGAAUUUAAAGUAAUAUAUAAAAAUAAUUUAUCAAUUUAAAUUUUUUAUUUUUCCUUUUUUAAUUUUUCUUCUUUAUUUUCUAUUUUCACAUAUUCCCUCAAACUUUGGGACCAAACAUAACCUAAAUGAUCACUUGAAGUCAAUCCCAAACUAUCCAAACAAUUCUUCUUUCUUAUAGCCCUUUUUGCCUCCCCUCUAUUUAAACCAGCCAAUAUGCACGCAACAAAGCCACAACAGCAAAUUUUCUUUAGUUAAUUUUAAAAUUUUGUGAUUUAGAAAAGAAAAUUAAGAAUUAGGAGCUAGUGGGGUUUUGAAGAAGAAUAAGAAGAUGACAAACUAGGAUUAGGAUUUUGAAAACAAAGAUGAAGAAUAUUAUUUACAAGGACGGGUUUGGGCCGGGAAGAGGAGUUAUAAACAUUAUUGAUCUCCCAUAAAUUAAUAAAAAUUUUAAUUUUUUAGGAACGGGGAAUAUUGAAGCAAAAGAUGAAAAAAAAAAAAAAAGCCAAUUUACUUUUUCUAUAAUUAGUUCAACAGAAAAACAUAAAUGUGUUCUCAUUUUAAUUUCUUUUAUAUAUGAUGAAAAAAUGCCAGAGAUGUUGGAAAAAAUACUAGCCCUGAAGAUCGUCCACCAAAGAGAUGAACAUGGAAGGACUCCACUUCAUUAUGCGGCAUCGAUUGGAUAUCUUGAAGGAGUUCAAACGCUGUUAGCUAAAGACCAAUCUAACUUCGAUCGAUAUCAUAGGGACGACGAAGGCUUCUUACCCAUCCAUGUUGCAUCAAUGAGAGGCUAUGUAGACAUCGUCAAAGAGUUGCUCCAGGUCUCCUCUGACUCAAUAGAAUUGCUUAGCAAACACGGUGAGAACAUUCUUCAUGUGGCAGCCAAGUAUGGUAAAGAUAAUGUAGUCGAUUUUCUGCUGAAAAAAAAAGGGGUUGAGUACCACGUAUGCACAUCCUAAGGUCGUAAACUAUUUAACAUGGGAUAAAAGAGUUGAUGUGAAUCUUGUGAAUAAUGAAGGCCAGACUGCUUUCGACAUUGCUGUAUCAGUGGAGCAUCCAACUUCAUUGCACCAGGUAUAUAUGACGAUUUGCAUCUUGUUUUCUGAAUUAAGGGUACUACUAUUGGUUUCACCUUGAACUGCAUGCAUUGUUAAUGCUAUGGCAUUUUCCUUCUUAGAUGCAAGCAUGUGAAUUAUUAAAAGGAUCAAUCAGGAAAACAUAGUUUGUAUUUCUUUCCUAGAAGGACCGACUGAUAUUAAUAAAACCUAGUUCAACUAAAAGAAGAUCAAUUUGAUCCCAUGAUAUCCUAAAAGUCAAGAAAAUUAUGGAGCCUAACUCAAUCACCAUCACCCUCGCCCAGAUUAGAGCGGCUCAACCAAGGUUAGGCUAGGUUUCUCCAGCAAGUGCAUAUACUCUUGAUGCCGGCAAAGACUUAUUGGAAUAAUUUUUUGCAUCAUACUAAAAGGUUUUCAGUGUAGAGAACUGCUAUAUCAUGUGCGCUUGUGGUUGCUCUCUUGCUGCUUCACGUUGCUUAAUUUCAUACUUCUUGUGGGUGCUCAUUGAAUUUAUAGGGAAAAGAGAAUGGCUUCCCAACAAAAUAUUUCGAAACCCAACUCAUGGAAUUAUAGUCUACUUAUACUUUCUAUAGUUAUUAUUACGACGCAUACAUUUGAUUUUCUUUCUUUCUCACGACUACAUUAACAGCAACAUUUUUCUCUCUACCACGCAGAGACUAAUUUGGACAGCACUCAAGUCUACUGGUGCACGACGAGCCGGAAAUUCAAAGGUCCCACCAAAACUGCCUAAAUCACCUAAUACGGACCAGUACAAGGACAGAGUAAACACUCUCUUGUUGGUUUCGACCCUUGUUGCCACCGUGACAUUUGCUGCUGGUUUUACCAUGCCAGGAGGCUACAACAGCUCUGAUCCAAGUGCCGGCAUGGCUAUCUUUCUGAUGAGAAAUAUGUUCCAUAUGUUCGUCAUCUGCAAUACCAUUGCUAUGUAUACCUCCAUCCUCGCGGCAAUCAUCUUCAUCUGGGCACAGUUACGUGAUCUCAAUUUGAUGGAUACUGCCUUCAGAUUUGCAUUGCCAUUAUUGGGGCUGGCCCUUUAUGCAAUGUCCUUCGGCUUCAUGGCAGGUGUUUCCUUGGUGGUCAGUAAUCUUCAUUGGCUUGCAAUUGUUGUCUUCAUUAUUGGAAUCAUCUGCCUUUUCAGUCUCUCAGUACCCUUUCUUUUACUCUUCCUCCCAAGUAAGUCUACUAAUCGUAUCCUUAGGUACAUCUCCUAUUAUCCGUUCCUUAUACUGGUAUGGGCAUCUGAAAGCCCCGAAAUCAAACAGGAAGAUUAGCUUGCCCUGUUGAUGAUGUAUGCUAGCUCCAUCUUCUCCUAUGUUUGUUGCUUCUUUCAGCAUUAUCUCAAUGACUUGGUAGACAAAGCAUGUUAUGAAUAAAUGCUUAGUGUGAUCAGAACUUCAAUAUAUUGGUGGUGUUGUACAUGAUCAUUUGUCAUAUAAAUCUGUAGUUUCUGGAGCUGUAAUAUGUGAAAUACUCUAUAUAUAUUUCAAUAAAUACUCCAUUCAUCCAUACUGAUCAAUGCAUAUUUGUCUUUGCUUUAAAAUUUUUUAGAAAAGAAAAAAAGAAAAAAAAAUCUUGGAAAUCCCAAAAUGAUUAAUUUGAGAAAUAUCAUUAUUUAACAAAUAAAAAAACACAUGAAUAUAUAAACCCCACUACGUCAUUUUCUUUGAAGUACCCUGUUGCGGAUUUGAUGAGAAAAAGGUAAUCAAAUGGCAUAGCAUAAAAUUUAAAUUAGAGUUUUCUCAUCAAAAUGUGCAGAAUUAAAACCUUUACUAAAACAAUUGAUUUUUAGGAACCAAAUUUUGGUGAAAAAAAAAAAUCAUAAUUCAUCUAUAAAACUAAUUAUUGACAAUAAACUUUUACAUUUCUUACAAACUAUUUAAUGAUGAUACCUUAGUGAUUAACUUCUAAACUCAUUUAUAAAAUGUAACAUUAGACUUUGUUUGAUUUUGAAGAGUUUGAAAGGAAAUGCAAAAGAAAGAAAAAAAAAGAGGAGAAAAAUAAAAGGAAAGAAAAAAUAAAUUUAAAGUGAAUAAAUUAUUUUGAUAUAUUAUUUUAAAAUUUUUCAUUUAUUUAAAUUUUUAUAUAAAAAUAAAAUAAUUUAAAAUCUCAAGAUUACUAAAAAAUAUCUUGGGAUAGCAAAAAGUUUAUGAUCUUUUUCCUACGUGGAACAAGUGAUAAUUGAGCACCACCUAUUCAAUCCCUCUAAUUAGUUAUGAUUAUCUUAUUUAAUUAAUGAUUUAUGUAUUUCAUAGAUAAGUUGACAAUUUUAUUCUAUACAUUUUAAACUAAAACUCUAUAUACUUUCUUGUAACCAAUUAGAGUCUACGGAUGGUAAUGGGGUGGAUUUUUUUGAGUACUUGCCCGUCCCAUCCUUAAUGGAAUGGAUUUGAAUUUUAACUAAAUGGGUUUAGGAUGGGUUUGGAAAUUUUUUUAAAACUUGGGGUGAAUUUGGGUGUUGUCUUGUCUCAUCCCACCAUAUUAUAUAUAAAAUUAAUUUUUAAAAUUAAAUUAAAUUAAUUUUUAUUUUACUAUUUUUACUAUGUAGAUAAUAAUGAAAUAUUUUUUUUUAAUAAAAUAAGUUAUAAAAAAUAUAAUAAUUUAAUUAUUUAUAAAAUAUAUUUAUUUUAAUGUAAUUAAAAAAAAUUAAAAUUUAAAAAAAAAAAAAAAAAAGUUAAACUGGGUGGGAUGGGGUGGGGCAAGUAUGAAAAUUUCUCAUACCCAUCCCUUCCUGUUUAAUUUUUUAAAUGGGGCAGAGAUGAAAAUUAUUUUUAAUAAAUGGGACGAGGUUGGGAUGGGGGUGACCCGUCCCAUUGCCAUCCUUGCUAGAGUCUGGAAUCGUAAAAACUCAAGAUUACUCACAAUUCAUCUAGGAAUAGCCAAAGUUAAUGAUCUUGUUUCUACAUAGAGCAAGUGAUGAUUGAGGACCAUAUAUCUAGUCUGUCUAAUUAGUUAUGUGAUGCAAGGUUAAAAACCUUAUCUUAUUUCAUAACAUGAUUAUAUUUUAUAGAUCAUAAAAUCAAAUCUUUGUUUGGUAACUCAUAUUUAGUAAACCUUAAGAACCUAAAUUCCCCACGUGUUUGACAUAGAUUCGAAAUUUUGAACCCAAUUUUAAGUUGAGUUUGAUGAUAGUCGGACGUAUUGAUGACAGAUUUGACGGUCAUUACGUUCAAACCCGCUUUAAAAGACUCAAACCCACGUAACUUUGAAUUGGUUAAAAUAAUUUUAUAAAGUGAAACGAUUAAACUUCUUACUUUUUGGGAUUGGUGUUUGUACUUCCAAAUGAUGUUCCUAGUGAGUUUGGGGAAGAGAGUGAUAGGAUUUCAGAAUAAUUAUAAGCCUAAUUCUUGCAAAACAAUCAUCACAUUGGUCUUAAAACUUUGUGAUUUUCUCAAAGUAAAUAAAUAAUCAAGAAAACAAUCGUUAAAUUCUAACUUUUAAACCAUGUCUAGAAAAAUAAAGUUUAAACCAAAAAUCCUAAUAAUAUCAAAAUCUCAUCCUAAUUAUCAUUCAUCACCUGAUCAGAUGGUACUUAAAAAAUUGUUAAUGAAGGGAAAUGAACUUAAAACCUAAUAAGAAAUAUUAAUACAAUUUCACAAAUAAAAUAUUUUUAAUAAAGAUUAUAAAAAGAAGAUAUGAUGUAUAAUCAUUUUCAUAAAAACUUUUUAGUUCAAACAUCCUAAUACAUUCAAACUUUUCAAUAAAACAUUUUUAUAUUCAUGUCAAACAAUUUUAUAUUAAAUUCAAAUAAAUUGUAUUUAAAAUAUUUUACUCUGAUUAUCAAAUAUCAAAUGGUACUCAACUAUGUGAGACUUUACAAAUGGACGGCUACUCUCAAAUUUGUUCCUUUUAAGACAAAACUAAACACUACUAAUACUAGUAAUCUCUAACCAAACCUUUAGAUGUUGGGGUUCAAAUCAAUUGCAUUCUUCAUCAUAAAAUGUAAAUGUUAACUAUUAUAUCGUGUUAAUAUGGACUAAAAAGUCAAAUAUUAUAUCCAAUUGAUAAAGACCAAAAAGUCGAUUAUUAUAUUCCGUUACCUAUGACCAAACAAACCAAAGUCAAACACUUUGUUUUAUUUAUUCAAACUUAUAAAAACAUAAUAUUUUCACAUAUUUAUGUUAUAAACAAAAGAAAAGGUUUUAAUAUAUUUUUCAUGAAAAAUAUAUUUGCUUUAUGCAUAAAAACAAAAAUAACAUUUUACACAUUUCAAAAUAACAUGUCAAAAGAAAAUCAUUUUUUAUUAUAAAAUCCUCAUUAAUUUCCCUUACCUCGAAAAACAUUCAUAAUCCUUGAAGAAUUUAAUUCCAUAUAAACAAAUUUUCAUCUAAUAACAUAAGAAAAACAAUUAUUACUAUUAAUUAUUUGUCUAAAAUUAUAAGUUUGAUAAUCCUAAAAUUUUAUAUAUUAAUAUUAAUAAGUAUCAAUGAUAAUUUAAUUAAUUUAUUCCUUAUUAAAGUAAAAUUAAUAAAUUGCUAAUUUAUAUAAAACUUUUUUCUUAAAUUUGAUUCUAAAAAACAAAAAUACAUUACUAAUUUAAUUAAACUACAAUUUUUAUUUCAUUAAUUAAAUUUUAUUUAUUUAUUAACUUAACAUCUAUCCUCAUUAGCAUUAUUAUACCAUCAACUAACCCAACUCUCAACACCUACUUAAUAUUAUAUAUAAAGGUAGGACUCGCUUGCUUAUCUUUUUCUUAUUUUAUUUCUUUUCUUUCUUGCACAAACCACACUCAUGGCUACAUUCCAUUUUAUUUUAUUUUUUUAAUACACACUUACAAAAAUCACACUGUACACACUCGCCAAGGAACCAAAAGCUUUUUUUUUUUAAACACCCAAAUUCUUUUCUUUUUUUUCUUUUAUGUUGUCACAUAGGUACCCAUCCCAAAUCCAUAAAUCCUUUUUUUCUUUUUCUCAAUACCCUAAGUAUAUAUAUAUAUAUAUAUAUAUAUAUAUAUAUAUAUAUAUAUAUAAGAUAUAUUAUUUAUUUAUUAUUGUUUUAGAUUUACUAAAAAAAUAUUGAGAAUUUCCAAUCUCUAUCAAUAAAUCAACAUUUAUUCAUAAAUUUUCACUAUUUUUUAUUUAGAAUUUAAAUAAACAAAUUAUAUUCAAGAUUGAGAUUUUUUAAAGAAUAUUUAAGUGUUUAAAACUAAUUAACAAAUCUAAAAUACUAAUUUAAGGGUUAAAAUUCUACUUGAAAAACUAAUUUUCAAAUCCUAAACCUCCAAAUCUUCAAUCCUAUAUUGUCUUAUGUUUUUUUGAUCUUUUUCUAAUCUCAAUGUAAAAGGGUUUCUAUAUAAAGAAAUCAAAAAAAUCUAAUUUAUAUUUAAGGUUUUUAAUGCAAAAAGACCUUUCUAACCUUAUUAAAUUUAUUUAUUUUUUUCUUUUACUCUAAUUUAUGGUUUUACCCUUAACAAUAAAAUGGGGGGUGUUACAUAAGAAGCUUGUUAGAAAAAUUAGACUAAUCCAACCUAUGGUAAUCACCCUAAAGAGGGGGUGAAUAGGGUGAUAGUCUCUUUUUGCAAAUUUAAACUAUGUGAAAGUAAGAGACAAUUAUAUGUAAGUAUAUAAUAAACAAUAUAAAGACAAUUGCAUAUAAAUUAAAAGAGUAGGGAAGAGAGAAUGCAAACACAAGAUUUUAUAGUGGUUCGGCGCAACCCGGCCUACAUCCACUCUCCUCUAGCUUCAAUCCAAAGCUUGAAGUUCCACUAAUUCAAGGCUUCCAAACCAAGCCUUCAAGUAAUAUAAUUGGACUAUGGUUCCAAUUUACCCUCUUGGACUUUUGGCUCCAAGCACCCUUUACACUUCUCAAGAGAUAUCCCACUCUUGAACAACCCCUCAAGUGAUACCACACACUUGAGAAACUUCCUCUCAAAGAUUUACAAAUAAAUGAUCUUAUAAAAUCUUAGUACAAAAACUUUAAACUCAAAUGAUAUAAGAAAACUAGAAUUGAAUGGUGCACUAAAGAUAUACAAAUUUUAGAACAAUGGUGCACUCAAAAAUACUCUUCCAAAGCUCAAAUAUAUUCAAGAAAGGUUUGGGAAGGUUAUGUUUCUUAAACAAUAAAGAUUGGAGCAUUUUUAUAGAAGAAAAAAGUCAAACUAGUCGUUGGGGGUUCGACCGAUUAACUAGCCGUUAGCAUUUAAUGUUGGCAGGUGACUGUUGGACCUCGACCAGACCUCAACCGGUUGAGGUUCAACCUUGACCGGUUGAACAACCGUUCUAGAAGAAAGAGAAAAUUUUUUGCACCAUCGACCGGUUGAGCUGGGGGUCGACCAGUUAUUGUUCAUACCCUUGACCGAUUGAAUUGGGGGUUGACCGAUUACUAUUCAUGCCCUUGAUCGGUUGAGAUAGGGGUCGACUGGUUACUGUUCAUCCGGUUUAACCGGUUGAGCCGUUUUUGGUUCAACAACCAAAUUUUUCAACUUAAAACCUUUUAAACAAGUUUGAAACAACAUUUGACACAAGGUUUUAGUUGAAAAUAUGAAAUCAAAACAAAAUAAUUCUUGGAUGAUUUCGGUGCAUAUGUAAAGAAUGUAAUGCAUGGAAAUCCUAGUGCACCAACAAUCUUAUAAAAAGAUCUUAUGAAACUUGGGUCUUAAAAAACACUUCUCUUUGAGGUGGUCUUCUUCUUCAUGAUUUUUCUUUGGCUUGAUUUGUCUUUAUGAUUGCCACUUUGGAAAUCGUCUUACUUAAUUACACUUGAAAUAUAAUCAUUAGUUCUAAACUUUGUUUUGUUAUCAUCAAAACCGAGAUUGACCGAAUCUUGAUUUCACAAAGCCUAAUAAUAUUUUAAAUAAUUUGAAAGUAAAAAAUCGUGCUAGAACCAAAAAUUGUUUGAAAAUGAGUACAUCAAUUUCUCACCUAUGCACAUUCUUUUUAAAAUUUUCUUAUUAUGUGAAUGAGUUUCAAAUAAAAUGAUAUUUAAUGCACUGGAUUGGUUAGCAAGUCUAAUGAUUUUUUUUUAAUUAAUUUAGAACUUAAAAAUGGGCUCAAUUAAUUUCAAAAUUUCAACCAAAAUAGUUAAAAAUAUCCCAAAUGUAUGUGUAUUAAAAGAAACUAAAUUAUUCAUAUAACUAGAAAGAGUAAAUUCAUAACUUAUUUAAAAAUAAUAUUAACUAUUAACAUUUUCUAAAAAUAUUAUUAUUCAUUUAAAAUAUAUAUAUAUAUACUUGACAUUAUUAAAAUAUCAGCAUUCAUAUUUUAUAAUAUCCACUAUAUAAUUCUAUUUUUUUUUAAAUAUAUAUGAUUUUUAUUUUUAUUAUAAUGUUAGUUUCAUAUUUUAUGAAUAUUAUCUGUGUAUUAUUUAUUUAUUUCAUAUUGAUCACUUAGAAUUUAUAUGAUAUUGAUAUUCAUUUUAAAAUAAAUUUAGGUUUAUGUGGCUAUUUUUAAAAUACUAUAAUUCAUUAUUAGAAAGUUUAAUAUAUUAUUAGUUAUUUUUUUAUAGAAAAUGUGUUUUAAAAAAAUGUUUAAUAAAUAAAUAAAUAAAUAACCAUUUAGCAAGAGGGGUUUGUAUAGUGGGUGAGAAAAAUGAAAUAAAAUCCAUGACGCUAGGAGAUCUUUUUCAUCGCAAUGAAUCUAUUAUAUAAAGGAAAAAUGUGAAUGAACCAUUUGCCAUGUUAAUUUUUUUGAAAUAGUGUAAGGAAACAUAUUUUGGUUGUUACAUGUUUUCCAUAAGAAAAGUAUGUUUGGAAACUUUCAAAUUUUUUUUUAAUAAUAAUAAUAAUUUUUAUUUACAGUACUUUAUUUAUUUAUUUUUAUUUUUCAUAUUUAUAUAAUUAUUUUUUAAAACAAAUAAAAAUAAUUAAAAUAUGUUCUUAAAAAACUCUAUUUUUUAAAUAAGUUCUCAAAAAUAAUAUUUUAUAUUAAAAAUAAUAUUUUCUAACUGACAAGAAAAUUCCAAACUUAUUCGUAAGAAAUGUGGUUCAUGAUUGGUUGGUGGUUAGUCACUAUCCAUUUAAUUCAUAGAAUUAAACGUUUAUACACCUCAUCUACCAACAACGGUUGUAUCCUCAUCGUGUCAUGUGCAUACCAUUUAAAAUUCUCAAAUAGAAAAAUGAAAUGAAAAUUAAUAUAAUUUUGAUUUAUUAAUAUAUUUGGAUUAAUUGUUUUAUAGAAUGAGAAUAUGAAUAAAAAAUUUAUUAGUAUAGAAAUCAAAUUCCACUCUUAUGAGGAUUUUGAUUCAUUUAUACUAUGUCAUAGUGUUUUACCUUACGCUUGGGUUGAAUAGUAUAUAAUAUCCAUAUCUUAGAAUAUCAUAUCCCCUCCUUAUUCAACUUAUUUGCAAGAUUUGUAUUUGUCAUUCAAAAGUCAUCUUUUAACACGACAAUUAAUACAAAGCUAUUAUGUAGUCAUAUAUUUAUCACUUUUUUUUUUAUGUUGAUAGUGAAUUUAACUUUUUACGGUUGUAUCUUAUUUUUAUAUAAUUAUAUUAUAUUUAUUUUAUUUUUUAUAUUAAUUUUUAAAUGUGACUCACAAUUGGUUGGAGGGUUAGAGACUUCAUAAUAUUAGAAAAACAAGUUACAUCCUCAUCCUAUUGACAUGGUAACAACGUGUAAAUCUUUUUGUCUAUCACUCAAAAACCACAUUUUAGUGAGGCAACCUAUACAAAACCAUUGCGUAGUUAUAUAUUUGUCUCAACUUUUCUUUAAGUUGACAAUGAAUUUAAUUUUUUGCACAAAUAUCUUAUUUUUAUAUAAUUGUACUCCAUUUAUUCUUUUAUAUUAAUUUUCAAAUGUGGCUGAUAAUUGGUUGGUGGUUUAGUUAUUAUCAAUGGUUUAAACUAAUCCAAUUAUUGACUAGUGACCUUUUCGAUCCAAUUCACACCUUUAAGUCGUUUUAUCAUUGAAUUUAUAUUACUCAAAAACAAGUUACAUCCUCAUCCAGCUAACAUGCUAAUGACAUUUCAAGCUUUUCAUCAGUAACUCAAAAGCUAGAUUUUAGUAGGAGAGCCAAUAGAAAGCCAUUUUAUUGUCAUAUAUUCGUUUCAAUUUUUAUUUUUUAUAUUGACAAUGAAUUUAAGGUUUUUUUUUUUUGCCCUUUUAAUAUAUAUAUAUAUAUAUUCCAUUUCUCUCUUUCAUAUUAAUUUCCAAAUGUGAUCUGGUUGGUGGGUUAGUCAUUGUCUAUUAAAUUCAUAUCACCCACCAAAUUUAGUUGCAUCCUUAUUAGGCUAACGUGUCAAUAACAUGCUAACAACAUUUAAAAAUUUUCAGUAAGACAAUGAAUACAAAGUCAUCAUGUGUCAUACAUCUGUCUCAAUAUUUUUACAUUUUUUUUUUUUUGCACUUAUAUCUUAUUUUUAUAUUAUUAUAUUUCGUUUCUCUUUUUUGUAUUAAUUCUUAAAUGUGACCGAUAAUUGGUUGGUGGGUUAGUUGUUGUUCAUUGAAUUUAUAUCACCCAAAGAGCUAAGUUGCAUCCUCAUCUAUCUAACAUGCUAAUGACAUUUAAAACUUUUUAUUUGUUACUCAAAAGUCAUUUUUCUGUAAGACAACCAAUACGAAGCUAUCAUGUAAUCAUAUAUUCAUUUCAAAUUUUUUUAAUCUAUUUUUUAUUUUUGGUGUUGACAAUGAAUUUAAUUUGUUACACAUAUAUUAUUUUUAUAUAAUAAUAUUUCAUUUCCUUCUUAUAUAUUCAUUUUCAAUGAUGACCCAUAAUUGGUUGGUAGAUUAUUCAUUAUUCAUAUAAUUAAUAUCACUAAAAAAUAACUUGAAUCAUCAUCUAGUUCAUAUAUUAAACCACAUUUAUUAUUUACAUUUUUCAACCAAUUUAAUUUGUUGAUAAUAACGACGGUCCAAAUUUAUGAGAUAGUCUGUUGUUAAAAAAAUUUUAUUGGUAACGGAAAAUUCUCAUCGAUAGACUUUUGUCAACACAUUUUUCCCUAACUAUCAUGUAUUGAGAUUAUCCAUUGAUAAAUGUUUAUUCAGAUAGUAUAUAUUAAUGAAGAAAAGUAAAAAAUUUUGUAAUGUGUUAACAAUGAGUUUAAUUUUUUGCACUAAUUAAUAUUUUAUUUUUAUAUAGUUAUAUUUCAUUAAUUUUUUUUUAUAUUAAUUUUCAAAUGUGGAUAAUUUUUCGGUGGAUUAGUCAUUGUUCAUUGAAUUACAUCGGUUCCAACAUGGUAGAAGCCAACUAUAACAAAAGUUGUAUCAUCAAAUGAAGUUCAUUUAAACCAGUUUAUCUCAAUUCAAUUUAUCAUUAAGCCAGUCUAUUUUUGGGGUUUUGUUUUGUGUUGCACCAUAAUGCAAUUAAGUUGUUUGAUGAGAAGUCUAGCCAAAUUUGACAUCGGUUGACCCAUGCAAGUUGUAUGAUGAAAACCCAUCUAUUUGUACCAUGCAUGGAAAAAAAAACAUACAUGGCAUUAUUAAAUUUCAGACUAUAAUGUAAUGCCAUGAUCAAAAGGGUCGAAAAUACGAGAAUAAUUAAACUUAGGAAGUUAAAAUGAUAGCAAAAUUUUAAGCACAUUAAUGUGGUCUUCUUGAGCAGUAAAGCAAUUAUAGUAAUUAUUAAUCUUCAUCUAAUUAAUCAAGUAAAAUAAUUAUCAUUAAUUAUAAUAAUUCAUUUUUUUAUUGUGUAGAUAUUAUCUACUUUACUACGAAUGCGCAUCUACGGCUUUUUGUCUUAUUGAUGAGUUAGGUAAUGUUUGCUCACCCAUUUCAGCCCUUUGCAGUGCCUGUGUCCAUGCUUUUAAUGCUACGUCCGUAUUUCCAUUUAUCAGCUUAGGUUAGAUAAAAAAUGCAGAAGGUAAAAUCAGACAUAAUAGAAAUUAGGGGCUGUAUGUCAUAUAUUUGUGCGCGAAUUUGGGAUUGGGUUGAAGUAAAAAAGUCAAAAUGAAAUUACAAUAAGAGUACGGUAAAGGGUUAACGUUGGGACACCAGUACUGAUGUACACUUCAAGGAAGUAGGCCAUGGCAUGUCAUGCCACCUGGAACAAAAUAAGGGGUUCUACAGAUUCUCUUAUCGGAAUCAUUUGAGAUAUAGGAUGGAUGCAUAGAAGGGAAGGAGACGACUCCUCUAAAACUUGUGUUUGUGUGUAGGUGAGAAGUUGGGAUUCCCUGAUCAAUUAAACAUGGCUGAGGAGAGGGAUCCAGUAGAGUUGGGCAUGGCACUCGGCGCAGAUUCGAACAUGAAAGAAGACAGCGUAACAGCUAAGAAGAGGGCAAAACGGUGGGCAAUCACCGCAGAAGCGAGCAUGGAAAGAGAGAAGGGGAUGCUUGAUCAAGAUGAAGAUGACUUGUGUGUAGGUGAGAGGUUGGGAUUCUCCGAUCAAUCAGACAGGGCUAAGGAGAGGGAUCUAGUAGAGUUGGGCAUGGCACUCGGCGCAGAUCCAAACAUGAAAGAAGAUAAGGAAACAAGUAAGAAGUGGAGGGCAGAUUCGACACUGAUCAGCUCAGAUUCGACGAUGGAAGAAAACCCUGCACCGCCUGAGGUGUGGGUGCCAGAAACCUCGCCAAUCUUCGCAGAUACUAAGAUGGCAAUAGACAUCAGCUCAUAUUUCACAAUGAAAGAAUGCCGUGCAUCGCCGUGGGCGCGAGAAUCCAUCAUGUUAGGCAUGCCAAUCACCGCAGAAGCGAGCAUGGAAAGAGAGAAGGGGAUGCUUGAUGAAGAUGAAGAUGAAGAUGAAGAUGAAGAUGAUUUGUGUGUAGGCAUGCCAAUCUCCGCAGAUGCGAACAUGGAAAUAGACAGGGAAACGCAUCUUGUAAGAAAUAUAAGUGCUCCUUCCACACACGGACCCCACGCCCCCGCUGAUGAAGAUGAAGAUGCGGAGCAUAAGAAAUUAAUGGACCGCCGCAUGCACGCGCUAGCGACCCAAGGAAAUGUUGAUGGCUUUAUUAAAAUUUUAGGCUCGAUAUCCUCCGAACAGAACCCACUUCUCUGCCAAGUUAGUCCCCGGAAAAACACAUGCCUCCACAUAGCAGCAAGCUUUGGACACCAUGAUCUUGCCAAGUACAUCGUGAAAGAGUGUCCAGAUCUUAUAAAAAAUAAAAACUCCAAAGACGACACGGCACUUCAUAUUGCUGCUAGAAAAAGGAAUUUAUCUUUCGUUAAGAUUGUCAUGGAUUCAUGCCCUUCUGGAAGUGGCGCAUCCCAAGAUGUAGAGAAGGCUGAGCCUUCAUUGCUGGGAAUUGGUAACAAAGAAGGAAAUACAGUGUUGCAUGAGGCACUGAUAAACCGUUGCAAACAAGAAGAGGUGGUGGAGAUCCUUAUUAAGGCAGAUCCCCAAGUGGCUUAUUAUCCGAAUAAGGAGGGUAAGUCACCAUUGUAUCUAGCUGCAGAAUCACACUACUUCCAUGUCGUAGAGGCUAUAGGAAACUCUGAAGUUGAGGAGCGCAUGAAGAACAGAGACCGCAAAGCAGUCCAUGGUGCCAUUAUGGGAAAGAAUAAGGGUAUUUCCCGCCUCCUUCUCUCUCUCUCUCUAUUAAAUUUUCUUCUUCCUCUUCAAACUUAAAAAGCAUUGUUUGGCUUAAAUAAUAUGUUCCUUCUAACUAUAGAAGAAGUCUACUGGGCUUUUCUCAGCUUUUGCUUCAAUAUUCCUUGUUCCUAAAAAAUCAAUUUUUUUUAUUAAUUUAUGGGAGAUCCACACUCUUCUUUCCCAACCCAAACCCCGUCGUUGCAAAUAUUCUUCAUCUUUGUUUUCUGAAUCCUUUUUUGUCAUCUUCUUAUUCUUCUUCAAAACUCCACUCCUAAUUAAUUCUUUAUUUUCUUUUCUUUUCUAAAUCACAAAAAUUUAAAAUUAACUAUAAAAAAGAAUUGCAGUUGCAUAUGGCUUCAUUGUGUGCAUAUGGGAUGGUUUAAAUAGAGGGGGUAAAAAGGGCUGUAAGAGGGAAGAACAAUUGCCUGUAUAGUUUGGGGUUGACUUUAAGUGACCAUUUAAGAUUUGAUUUCGAGCUUAAGGUUAGAGUUAGGAUUUUUCUUUUCCCUUUUUUUUCUUUAUGUUUUAUGUUUCGUAUAGAUGCGAUGAAGUAGAAUGUAUCCUACACAUUUGAAAGAAACACAAAUUAUAAAUGAUGCAAUGAUGUUCUAUUUUUCCCCUUUUAACUAUUGCAAUAUUAGUAAGAGUAGGGAUGGGAAUGAGACAAGUUUUUACAGAAACCACCCCAUUGAGUUUGAGAUAAAUUUGAGAUUUUUUUUAAAAAAUUAAAUGGAGCCAGAUGGGGUGGGACAUGUAUGAGGACGUUUAAAUUUCUUUUAAUGAGAUGGGACCAAGAAAUAUUUUGAAUAAAUGAGAUCGGGGUUGGGAUAGAGGUAACCGUCCCAAGCCCACCCCAUUUCAAUUCCUAAUUAAGAGGAUGAUAAGGCAAAUAACAAAAUUUACAUAAUUUUUAAGAUCUAAAGAAGAACUUAUAAUUAAAGGAAGCUUUUAAAAGGAUGGGCACCCCAUGUGGUACAACCUCACACCAAAUUGAUACUGUUUUGUUGAAUUAUAGAUAAUAAAAUAAUCAAUUAAAAAAAACUCUCUUUUUUAUUUUUAUAUUAAUUUUUCCUUCCUUGUUUUAAUUAUCUAAUAAUUGAACCCUUUCCAAAAAAAAUAAAAAUAAAUAGCAAUAGUAGCAAUUACUAGUUUACUAUGAAUUUAUCUUAAUUUUAUUUUUUAUAUGUUCAUAUUUUUUAUGUAAUUUUAAUUAUUAAUGACUUGCACUCAUAUAAUAAUAUAUUUAUUAGAAAAAGGUUGUCAUAUAAAAUUUUUCUUAUAUAUGAUGACAAAAUGCCAGAUAUGUUGGAAAAAAUACUGACCAUGAAGCUCGGCCACCAAAAAGACAACCAUGGAAGGACUCCACUUCAUUGUGCAGCAUCCAUUGGAUAUCUCGAAGGAGUUCAAAUGCUGUUAGACCAAUCUAACUUGGAUCCAUAUCAAACGGACUCUGAUGGCUUCUGUCCCAUCCAUGUUGCAUCAAUGAGAGGCAAUGUGGACAUUGUCGACAAGUUGCUCCAGGUCUCCUCUGACUCAAUAGAGUUACUAAGCAAACGCGGUGAGAACAUUCUUCAUGUGGCAGCCAAGUAUGGUAAAGACAAUGUAGUCAAUUUUGUGCUCAAAGAAGAAAGGCUUGAGAACUUUAUAAAUGAGAAGGACAAUGUUGGAAACACGCCACUGCAUUUGGCAACCAAGCAUAGACAUCCCAAGGUCGUAAGCUCUUUAACAUGGGAUAAAAGAGUUGAUGUGAAUCUUGUGAAUGAUUUAGGCCAGACUGCUUUGGACAUUGUAUUAUCAGUGGAGCCUCCAACUACAUUUGACCAGGUAUAUCUAUAUGGUGAUUUGCAUCUUGUUUUCUAAAUGAUGGGUCCUAUUAGUAGUCUCACCCUUCAACUGCAUGCCAUGAGUAAGAAAUUAGAAUGCCUCAUCCAUGCAUUGUUACAGUGCUAUGGCAUUUUCCUUCUCAGAUGCAUGCAUGCAAUUAAAUUAUUAAAAGGAUCGAUCAGGACAACAUAGUUUGUUUUCCUUUCCUAGAAGGACCGACUAAUAUUAAUAAGAACUAGAUCAACACUUCAACUCAAGCCACUGACCCCUGGUUGAAGGUCAAUUUAAUUGAGCCCAUAAUAUCCUAAAAGUCAAGAAAAUUAUGGAGCCUAACUCAAUCACCAUCACCCUCACCAAGAUUAGAGCGACUCAACCAAGGUUAGGCUAGGUUUCUCUAGCAAGUGCAUAUACUCUUGAUGUCGGCAAAGACUUGUGGGAAUAAUUUUUUGCAUCAUACUAAAAAGUUUUCAGUGUAGAGAACUGCUAUAUCAUGUGCGCUUGUGGUUGCUCUCUUUGCUGCUUCACAUUGCUUAAUUUCAUACUUCUAGUGGGUGUUCAUUGAAUUUACAGGGAAAAGAGAAUGGCUUCCUAACAAAAUAUUACGAAAUUAUAGUCUACUUUUAGUUAUUAUUAGGACACAUACAUUUUAUGUUCUUUCUUUCUCACGAUUACAUUAACAGCAACAUCUUUUUCUGUACCACGCAGGCACUAAUUUGGACAACACUCAAAUCUGCUGGUGCACGACCAGCGGGAAAUUCAAAGUUCCCACCCAGUAGAUGUUGUAAACAGUAUUCUGAAUCACCUAAUACGGACAAGUACAAGGACAGGGUAAACACUCUUUUGUUGGUUUCGACCCUUGUUGCCACAGUGACAUUUGCUGCUGGUUUUACCAUGCCAGGUGGCUACAACAGCUCCGACCCAAAUGUCGGCAUGGCUGCCUUGCUGAUGAGAAAUAUGUUCCAUAUGUUCGUCAUCUGCAAUACCACUGCUAUGUAUACCUCCAUCCUCGCGGCAAUCAUCCUCAUCUGGGCACAGUUAGGUGAUCUCAAUUUGAUGGAUACUGCCCUCAGAUUUGCAUUGCCAUUCUUGGGGUUGGCCCUUACUGCGAUGUCCUUAGGCUUCAUGGCAGGUGUUUACCUGGUGGUCAGUAAUCUUCAUUGGCUUGCAAUUGUUGUCGUCAUUAUUGGAAUCAUCUGCCUUGUCGGUCUCCUAGUAUCCUUUUUUUUACUUUUCCUCCCAAGUAAGUCUACUAAUAGUAUCCUUAGGCACAUCUCCUAUUAUCCGUUUCUUAUAUUGGUAUGGGCAUCUAAAAGCCCCGAAAUGAAACGGGAAGAUUAGCUCGUCCUGUUGAUGAUGUCUGCUAGCUCCAUCUUCCCCUGUGUUUGUUGCUUCUUUCAGCAUUAUCUCGAUGACUUGGUAGACAAAGUAUGUUAUGUAUAAAUGCUUAGUGUGAUAUAUUGAUGGUGUUGUACAUGACCAUUUCUUAUAUAAAUCUAUGGUUUUUGGAUCUAUAAUUAGGUAGUUCUAUAUAUAUUUCAAUAAAUACUCCAUUCAUACAUAAAUAACGUGAAUUUGUUAUUAAUAGGUUCAGUUUAAUUUAUUGAUUGAAAUUUGAAUUUUCAAUUGUAUUUUUUAAACUUUCUUAAUUAUUAUUCUUAUGAGAAUUUUGGGUAAAGUUUUGUUUUCAAAUCCGGGUUACAUCUUCUACGCUAGGAUUCAUUGGGAAGGGGAAAAGCUUUUAAUUUUGGAAAAAAAAAAAAAAAAUUGGCUUUUGAGUUCCAAAGUAUUUUUAAAAAUUAAGGAGUUUAAUAAUUUUUUUAAAAUAAUUUAAAAAUAAAAUAUCGAGGGAGUUAACACUAGAACCAAAAAUUGGUUGAAAAAGACUAUAUUAAUCUCUAGUUUAUGCACAAUUAUAUUUUUCAUUAUAUUUUAUUAUAUUAUUAAUAUUCAUAUUUUAUUAAAAAUUAUUUAGUUUGAAUUUAUUUAUAAUUAAAAAAUUCUUUUUAUUUUUAAUAAGACACAAAUUAAAUUUAACUUAUAUUAUAUAAAUUAAAUUUAUAAUUUGUGAUUUUUACAAAAUAAAAAUAAAAAUUAUUUUUAGAAACAACUAAUUUAAUUCUUAUAAUCAUUUAAGUUAUCUAAAUAUAGAAAUAAAUGAGAAAAUAAUGGAGAUCUUCAUUUCCAUUCCUGUUUUCCGCGUAGCAAACAGUCCCUCAUCUUAAUUAAUAACAUAACAUGAAUUAUAUAUUUGAUGGACGGUAAAAUCAACCCUUUGUUUGGUAACUCAUAUUGUAGUAAACCCUAAGUUGAGUUUGAUGAUAGUCGGACGUAUUGACGACGGAUUUGACGGACAUAACGUUCAAACCCGCUCAAAGACUCAAACCCACAGAACUUCACAACUGAUUAAAAUAAUUUUAUAAACCAAAAUGAUCAAACUUUGUAGUUUCUGGGAUUGGUGUUGAUGCUUCCAAAUAGGUUCCAAGAUGUUCCCAGUGAGUUUGGAAAAGAGAGAAGUGGAUUCCUUGAGCUUCUCAAAACAUUUUCUUAGAAAAUGUCAAACGCUUGGUCUCAAAAUCUAACCCGUAUGAUUCAAACACACCCAUGAAGACUUUUCUUUUGAAUAUUUCAAACUCCAGCAAACGAGUAAGAUAUUUGAGUUGCCGUGCUUCAUAUCCAUUCCGUGUCUGCUGGAAGUCCUAUGUGAUGUAAGUUGGACUAUCAAAUGAAUUUCUUUUGAGUAUCAAAUUUUUUAUUCAACUUAUCAUAUGUAUGUAAUGCAUAGGUUCUUCUCUCACAUAUUGACUUGGCCCUUACUUCCAUCCCAAGCAAGAGAGUGCAGGUAUCUCAUGGCCGGCAGUGGACUAAUGAUAUAUGAACUCAUUUUAAAUUGGGUCUGACUAACUUGGCCACAGGGGUUGUUACCUUGAAAGGACUUGAGUGGGGUUCAUGUUUAAGGUGGUGUUUGUUUUUUUGGUUUUUUGCUGAAAGUAAUUUAAUUUUAGAAUUUAAGUCGUUUGUUUUUCUAAUUUUUCAUAACUUAUUAUAAACUUUUUACUAAAUAAAAAAAAUUAAAAUAUGUAGCUUUUUUUAAAUAGAAAAAAUAACAUAUUAGUUUUUUUUACUUUUUAAUACUUGAUAGAAAUAAAAUAUUACAAAAACAAAUAACCUAAUAUUUAACAUUAUUAAGUAUUAAGGUUCUAUUUAGAAUUAAGUAAAAAAACAAACACCACCUGAGUCUUUCUUUUUUAAUCUAGGUAUGUACUGUGUGUGCUCUCUUCUUGUUUUAGUCGAAUUCAAAGAAUAGUUGUUUCUUCCUAGUCUUGGUAAGUGGUUGCUUAAGGGUAGCAUAUUAAGAUUUUUAUUAUUUUUAUUUUCUGUUUUUGACUUAGUGCCUUCUCAAGAUUUUGAAUUGUCAAAAAAGCUGGUUAUAUUGUAUAAACAAUCAUCAUAGUAUUAGAAUUAGCAUAUAUAAUUUGGUAUUGAUGUGCAUGUUCUCUUCCUCUGUAUGACCUAUCCUUUGCGAUGAAGUAUUGGACUGGUUUCUUUGUUGCCAUUAUUUCUUUUUUCUUUUAAACUUCUUAAACCAACAUAAAUACAAGCACAGCUAACGGAUUUGAUUAGGCAAGUCAACUACAAUAGGAGAUAUUAUGAGACAAGACGAUUUAAUGAUGAAUUUUGAGAGGCUAAGAAAGCAGGGGAGGGGAGAAAGAUGGAAGACAGGGAAACAAAGGCAAAAACAACCCAAGAAGCAAGCCAUCUUGGCAAUCUCUGAGCAUAAGGAUGCCAAAUUGUUGGAGGACUAUGUGACAGCUAGUUCCAUGGAUCCUGAUUUGUACAGACCUACGAUACAAGGAGACAUUCUUGAAUUCAUAAAAGCCGUGGAACAAGGACCAGACAAUAGACACGCUGGUGUACCUGCUGCAUCUUGUAUCCAAGUGACCCCUCAGAAGAACACAGUUCUUCACCUAGCAACGAUCUUUGGACAUGACGAGAUUGUGAAACUCAUUUGUAAGGACUUGCCCUUUCUUGUCAUGGAAAGAAAUUGCAGAGGUGACACUGCACUUCACAUUGCAGCCAGAGCUGGCAAUUCACUGCUAGUGAAUUUGUUGAUUAAUUCAACAGAGGGGGUUUUGGGUGUGAAGAAUGAGACGGGUAAUACCGCAUUGCAUAAGGCAUUGCAACAUCGUCAUGAAGAGGUGGCCUGGAAUAUAAUUAACAAAGACAGAAAUAUGUCUUGUUCUGUCAAUAAGGAAGGAAAAUCUUUGUCGUAUUUGGCCGCAGAAGCAGGAUAUGCAAAUCUUGUUAGGUUUAUAAUGGAAAAUCCUGCAGGAAACUACAGCAUUGAAGGAGAGCUCGAGAACAAACCAUCUGUGAAAGCUGCCAUUCUUGGGAAGAACAUAGGUAAAUGAAAUUCUCUCCUCUAAUCUCCCUUUUUUUUCCCUUAAUUGGUAUGCUUGUCUUUCAAUUUCAGACUUCCAAGAGCCUGCACUUGGAUUGGAAAUUUUUAAGUGACUGCACUUUCACACUUAGUUUUUUCCUACAAAAAGCCCUGCAACUACUAUAAACCACCCAAUUCUCUGCACCUGUGAAUCAGAAAACUUUACCCAAACUAUAUUGCAUCCAAUUGUCACCAUUAAAAGGUAAUGAUAUCAUGGCACAUAAGAGCAUUCCCAUUUUUCUGGAAGUUGGAAGACCUCAAUUAUUUCUUGCUUAAUUAAUUGGUGAUAUUCCUGUGCUUCCAUGUUUGAAUUAGUGUGUCCAUUGUAAUCUCCUUCCAUGGAUUUCCUUAGGUGUGGCCACCCAUCAAGAAGAGAUCAGGAAUAGUCCAGAAAUAUUACUGUCUUAUUCUAAUUACAUGAGUAUCUAGCAGUAAAGAAAUAUAUCUGUAGUAGCUGAUUUUUUUAGAUGGGUCCUCUAGUAGCCGAUCGACCUUUUUUCUUUACAAGAAGGCUUCUAUUGUGACUUGUGAAGACAAUGAUAAAUUGACAAUAUUUCUAAUUAUCAUUUGGAUUUAGGAGCAUAUUUUACCAUAUAUUUUGUUCUCACGCGUGGCAAGAUUUUCAUUUAAUGUGUUAUCAUCAGUCCUGUGAGCACCAAAAAAUUCGCUUAAAUAUGGUUCACACUUCUUUGUUUGUUUGUUUCCAUUUUUUUGUUUUGGGCGACGUUAGAUGUUCUCAAGAUAACGUGGGAAAGAGAUCAAUCAUCCUUCAAUUUAAGAUGUGAAGAAGGGAGGAACCCUCUUCACUAUGCAGCAUCUAUUGGUUUUGUUGAAGGAAUCAAUUACUUUGUAGACAAAUACUGUAUCGCUGCUUACCAAGGGGACAAAGAUGACCUCUCUCCUAUUCAUAUAGCAGCCAUCAAAGGUCAUUUCCACAUAAUUCAAGAGAUGCUUCAGCAUUGCCCAGAUUUGAUGGAGCUGCUCACUUGCAAAGGCCAGAAUACCCUUCAUGUCGCAGCAAAGAGUGGAAGAGCUGAAGCAGUUAGUUAUAUGCUUAAAAAAAUGCCGGAGCUUGAGAAGCUUAUAAAUGAGAAAGAUAAGGAUGGAAACACACCUUUACAUUUAGCCACUAUUUUUGAGCAUCCAAAGGUCGUAAGAGCUCUAACAUGGGAUAAGAGAGUUAACCUAAAGGCAGAGAACAAUGGAAGGUUGACAGCACUUGACAUUGCUGAUGAGUACAUGGACACAAUGGUUUCUUUUCGCAAGGUGUGCUUUACAAACUAUUUGUUAGGGGCUAAUCAUCUCAUUUUACUUGUUUAUAUUUAUCAUAUUAUUUGAAAACAACAAACGUUUUUUUAAAGAAUAUAAACUUUUAAAUUAUGUCUUCCCUAAACAAAAACUUGGUCAUUUCUUAAUUUGUUCGAGAAUCAAGGUUUAUUUUCUAUUCUUGUGGGCUAGUGAAUUGUUUUUUUUAAGUGUUAAGUGUUACAAUAAUCCCACAUCAGAAGUUGGAGAGAAAAAAACACCCCCUUACGCAGCGUGCAAAUCGAUCAAGAUCAAGGCAAAAAGAGUAUAUAAUUUUGACAUUAAAUCCAAAAUUGAAAAAGGGCUCACGUGGCAAAAGUUCAAUAGUGAAAAAAAUGAAGCUAAGAAUAAAAGUAAAUAAAAGUUAAAGCUAAUAAGGUAAGCACAAUUCAUAGAGUAUUGAAGAAAAUGAAAGUAAGAAUAAAGGUAAUCGAAAGUUAAAACCAACAAGGUAAGCACAAUCCAUGGAGUAUAGAAGAAAAUGAAGUUAAGAAUAAGGGUAAUUGAAAGUCAAAUCAUAACAUCUUUUAUUAACUUAGACAUUUACUUGACCAAAGCAAAAGCCAUUAGAUGCUUGUCUUGUAAUGCAAUCUUGCCCUUGGUUCAAUUCACAGCCUUAAAUGAUUCACUGUCAUCCAAUAGAUGGAAAUGGUGAUCUUAAUCGGUUUUUAAAAAUAAAUAAUUGUUUUUGUAUAAUUAAAAAUUAAUUAGGAUUAAAGAUUAAAAAAUAAGACUAAAGUUUAAAUUUUGUUUGAAUUUUAAAAUUUAGAAAUAUUAAAAAUUUAGAAAUUUAAAAAUAAAAAAAUGUAAAAUCAGAAAGGAUUGAAAUUAGGAUCUGUAUAUGAUAUAUUUGUGCGUCGGUAUAGAAGAUUGGGAUUUUGGGAUUGGAUUGAAGUAGAAAAUUCAAAAUGAAAUUACAAUAAGAAUACGGUAAAGGGAUAACGUUGGGACACCACUACUGGUGUACACUUCCAAGGCUGGAGGUAAAAGAAGGCCAUGCCAUGUCAUGCCACCUGGAACAAAAUAAGAGGUUCUACAGAUUCUCUUAUCGGAAUCAUUUGAAAUAUAGGAUGGAUGCAUGGAAGAAAAGGAGACUCCUCUAAAACUUGUGUAAACUUGUGUUUGUGUGUAGGUGAGAGGUUGGGACUCUCCGAUCAAUAAGGAACUCGGAGCAGAUUCGAACAAGGAAGAAGGCGGGGAAGGGCAGAUGGCACCACGCAUGACAUUCUCCGCAGAUGUGGACAUGGAUAGAGAUAGAAGUGCUCCUUACAGCUAUAAACACAUUGUCCCUGCAAUCUCCGCAGAUAGAAGUGCUCCUUCCACACAUGUGGGCAUGGCUAGAGAUAGAAGUGCUCCUUCCACACAUGUGGGCAUGGCUAGAGAUAGAAGUGCUCCUUCCACACAUGUGGGCAUGGCUAGAGAUAGAAGUGCUCCUUCCACACAUGAACUCUACGCCCCUGCUCCGGAGGAGAGGCUAGCAUCCUUUAUACGCUUCGCAUUCUUAGUAUAUAGGGAAAUUGAAGAAAAUGAGAAGAUGCUUCAUCAAGGAAGUGGAAGUGCUCCUCCCACACAAGAAGUCGUCGCUCCCGCCGAUGAAGAUGAAGAUGUGGAGCAGGAUAGAUUAAUGGACAGCCGCAUGUACAUGCAGGCGACCCGAGGACGUGUUGAUGAAUUUAUUCAAAUUUUAGAAUCGAUAUCCUCUGAAAAGGAACUUCAAAGCUCAGAAAUCCUCUCCCAAGUUAGCCCCCGGAACAACACAUGCCUCCACAUAGCAGUAAGAUUUGGACACCAUGAGCAUGCCGAGUACAUCGUGAAAGAGUGUCCAGACCUUAUCAAAAAGACAAACUCCACAGGCGACACUGCACUUCAUAUUGCUGCUAGAAAAAAGGAUUUAUCUUUCGUUAAGUUUGCCAUGGAUUCAUGUCCUUCUGGAAGUGGCGCAUCCCGAGAUGUAGAGAAGGCUGAGCAUCCAUUGCUGAUAAUUGUUAACAAAGAAGGAAAUACAGUGUUGCAUGAGGCACUGAUAAACCGUUGCAAACAAGAAGAGGUGGUGGAGAUCCUUAUUAAGGCAGAUCCCCAAGUGGCUUAUUAUCCGAAUAAGGAGGGAAAGUCGCUAUUGUUUCUAGCUGCAGAAGCACACUACUUCCAUGUCGUCGAGGCUAUAGGAAAACCUAAAGUUGAGAAGCACAAGAACAUUAACAGAGACCGCGAAGCCAAGUCGGCAGUCCAUGGUGCCAUUCUGGGAAAGAAUAAAGGUAUGACCCGCCCCAUUCUCAAUCUCCAUUUAAUUCUCCUGCUCUUCUUCUUCUUCUUCAAACCUAAAAAACACCAUUUCCAAUAAAAUCUUAAACCUAUAUUUGAUUCUCAUAGUUGAAAAAAAAAUUAUUAAGGGAAGUGAUUUUCUAAUAUGCUGUUGUACCAUGAAAAACAUGAAAGAAAGUGAAAUAUAAUUAAAAUUAAUAAGAAAUUUAUAUCAUUUAAAAUUAUUUAAUUUUUAUAUAAAAUAGUUAAAUAAGUAAAAUGAAUUUAAAGUAAUAUAUAAAAAUAAUUUAUUAACUUAAAUUUUUUUUCUCUCUUUUUUUAAUUUUUCUUCUUUAUUUUCUGUUUUCACAUAUUCCCUCAAACUUUCGGACCAAACAUAACCUAAAUGAUCACUUGAAGUCAAUCCCAAACUAUCCAAACAAUUCUUCUUUCUUUGCUCUUUUUCUUAUAGCCCUUUUUGCCUCCCCUUUAUUUAAACCAGCCAAUAUGCACGCAACAAAGCCACAACAGCAAAUUUUCUUUAGUUAAUUUUAAAAUUUUGUGAUUUAGAAAAGAAAAUUAAGAAUUAGGAGCUAGUGGGGUUUUGAAGAAGAAUAAGAAGAUGACAAACUAGGAUUAGGAUUUUGAAAACAAAGAUGAAGAAUAUUAUUUACAAGGACGGGUUUGGGCCGGGAAGAGGAGUUAUAAACAUUAUUGAUCUCCCAUAAAUUAAUAAAAAUUUUAAUUUUUUAGGAACGAGGAAUAUCGAAGCAAAAGCUGAAAAAAAAAAAAAAAAAAGCCAAUUUACUUUUUCUAUAAUUAGUUCAACAGAAAAACAUAAAUGUGUUCUCAUUUUAAUUUCUUUUAUAUAUGAUGAAAAAAUGCCAGAGAUGUUGGAAAAAAUACUAGCCCUGAAGAUCGUCCACCAAAGAGAUGAACAUGGAAGGACUCCACUUCAUUAUGCGGCAUCGAUUGGAUACCUUGAAGGAGUUCAAACGCUGUUAGCUAAAGACCAAUCUAACUUCGAUCGAUAUCAUAGGGACGACGAAGGCUUCUUACCCAUCCAUGUUGCAUCAAUGAGAGGCUAUGUAGACAUCGUCAAAGAGUUGCUCCAGGUCUCCUCUGACUCGAUAGAAUUGCUUAGCAAACACGGUGAGAACAUUCUUCAUGUGGCAGCCAAGUAUGGUAAAGAUAAUGUAGUCGAUUUUCUGCUGAAAAAAAAAGGGCACGAGAACCUUAUAAAUGAGAAGGACAAAGAAGGAAACACGCCACUGCAUUUGGCUACCACGUAUGCACAUCCUAAGGUCGUAAACUAUUUAACAUGGGAUAAAAGAGUUGAUGUGAAUCUUGUGAAUAAUGAAGGCCAGACUGCUUUCGACAUUGCUGUAUCAGUGGAGCAUCCAACUUCAUUGCACCAGGUAUAUAUGACGAUUUGCAUCUUGUUUUCUGAAUUAAGGGUACUACUAUUGGUUUCACCUUGAACUGCAUGCAUUGUUAAUGCUAUGGCAUUUUCCUUCUUAGAUGCAAGCAUGUGAAUUAUUAAAAGGAUCAAUCAGGACAACAUAGUUUGUAUUUCUUUCCUAGAAGGACCGACUGAUAUUAAUAAAACCUAGUUCAACUAAAAGAAGAUCAAUUUGAUCCCAUGAUAUCCUAAAAGUCAAGAAAAUUAUGGAGCCUAACUCAAUCACCAUCACCCUCGCCCAGAUUAGAGCGGCUCAACCAAGGUUAGGCUAGGUUUCUCCAGCAAGUGCAUAUACUCUUGAUGCCGGCAAAGACCUAUUGGAAUAAUUUUUUGCAUCAUACUAAAAGGUUUUCAGUGUAGAGAACUGCUAUAUCAUGUGCGCUUGUGGUUGCUCUCUUGCUGCUUCACGUUGCUUAAUUUCAUACUUCUUGUGGGUGUUCAUUGAAUUUAUAGGGAAAAGAGAAUGGCUACCCAACAAAAUAUUUCGAAACCCAACUCAUGGAAUUAUAGUCUACUUAUACUUUCUAUAGUUAUUAUUACGACGCAUACAUUUGAUUUUCUUUCUUUCUCACGAUUACAUUAACAGCAACAUUUUUAUCUCUACCACGCAGAGACUAAUUUGGACAGCACUCAAGUCUACUGGUGCACGACGAGCCGGAAAUUCAAAGGUCCCACCAAAACCGUCUAAAUCACCUAAUACGGACGAGUACAAGGACAGGGUAAACACUCUUUUGUUGGUUUCGACCCUUGUUGCCACCGUGACAUUUGCUGCUGGUUUUACCGUGCCAGGAGGCUACAACAGCUCUGAUCCAAAUGCCGGCGUGGCUAUCUUUCUGAUGAGAAAUAUGUUCCAAAUGUUCGUCAUCUGCAAUACCAUUGCUAUGUAUACCUCCAUCCUCGCGGCAAUCAUCCUCAUCUGGGCACAGUUAGGUGAUCUCAAUUUGAUGGAUCCUGCCUUCAGAUUUGCAUUGCCAUUAUUGGGGCUGGCCCUUUAUGCAAUGUCCUUCGGCUUCAUGGCAGGUGUUUCCUUGGUGGUCAGUAAUCUUCAUUGGCUUGCAAUUGUUGUCUUCAUUAUUGGAAUCAUCUGCCUUGUCAGUCUCUCAGUACCCUUUCUUUUACUCUUCCUCCCAAGUAAGUCUACUAAUCGUAUCCUUAGGUACAUCUCCUAUUAUCCGUUCCUUUUACUGGUAUGGGCAUCUGAAAGCCCCAAAAUCAAACAGGAAGAUUAGCUCGCCCUGUUGAUGAUGUAUGCUAGCUCCAUCUUCUCCUAUGUUUGUUGCUUCUUUCAGCAUUAUCUCAAUGACUUGGUAGACAAAGCAUGUUAUGAAUAAAUGCUUAGUGUGAUCAGGACUUCAAUAUAUUGGUGGUGUUGUACAUGAUCAUUUGUCAUAUAUAUCUGUAGUUUCUGGAGCUGUAAUAUGUGAAAUACUCUAUAAAUACUCCAUUCAUCCAUACUGAUCAAUGCAUAUUUGUCUUUGCUUUUUUAGAAAAGAAAAAAAGAAAAAAUAAAUCUUGGAAAUCCCAAAAUGAUUAAUUUGUGAAAUAUCAUUAUUUAACAAAAUAAAAAAAACACAUGAAUAUAUAAACCCCACUACAUCAUUUUCUUUGAAAUACCCUGUCGCGGUUGGUGAAAUAGAAGGGAGAAUUAUGUUUUGGGUCUGGCCCGAAAAUUGACUAAAAUUUCACAUAUUAUACACAUUUAAACCCAAGACCCAAAUAAAGUGUAAAAAUUAAGUUAAAGGAUAUUCUUAACCCCUACAUAGGCACACAGUGAAUGUAAAUUUCAAUUUUUUUUUUCCCUUUUCUAUUCCCAAUUAAGUAUUACUCACUUUUAACUUUUGUUCUUUUUUUAAAGAUAUUGAAUCUUUUUACUCAAGGAUAAAAAAGUUUCAUAUAAAAUUUAAUUUUUUUUAUUAUUUUCAUAUAAAAAAUAGUAUUAAACAAGGUUUUCAAUUUUUAUUUUUAAAAAUAGUUUUCAUUUUUUAAUUAAAUAUUUUUUCAAAAAUAAAAUAUAAAAAAUAUAAAUCAUAUUACCAUUUUUUUAGAAAGUAUUUUUUUAAAUAGUUUUUGAAAGUAAUUUGUCUUUAUUUAUAAUUUAAAAUAGAAAAUAAUGUUGAUUUUCACUUAUUUAUAAAAGAACGUUUUUAAAAAAAUGAAAAAUCUAAAUUAUUAAAAUAUAAUUAUUAUGGUUGCAUGAAUACUGGUGCAAUAAAGACCAAAAAAGUUUAUGUGAAAGGUCAACCCUAGUUUUAGAGUUUGGACUCGUAAAAACUCAAAAUUACUCAAAAUUCAUCUAGGAAUAGCCAAAGUUGAUGAUCUUGUUUCUAUAUAGAGCAAGUGAUGAUUGAGAACCAUCUACCUAGUCUAUCUAAUUAGUUAUGUGAUGCAAGGUGAAAAACCUUCUUUUAUUUCAUAACAUGAUUCUAUUUUAUAGACCAUAAAAUCAAUUCUUUGUUUGGUAACUCAUAUUGUAGUAAACCUUAAGAACCUAAAUCCCCCAUGUGUUUGACAUAAAUUGGGAAUUUUUGUUGUAAUAUGUGAGUCAUAUUGGGAGAAAGAUAUAUACGGAGAAAAAUAGGCCAAUGUCAAAGUGGAGCGGAGUGGAACGAUAGCAUUUGUCAUUUAAAUUUGUAUUUUUAUUAUUAAGGGUGAAUGAGAAGUUGGGGGGUGUGAGGGGACAACACCUCCUGUGGUAUGGUUUAGGGGUAUUUUUUAAAUUUUAUUACUUAAGAGUUAAUAUAAAUGUUUUUUUAUAUAACCUUAAUUUGACAUAUAGUGAAUUCUUCCCUAUUCUCAUAAACGUAGACAAUCCGUCGUUAAAUUUAUGCGUCUUUUUGUUUUUCUCUAAUUUCUUCAGCAAGAAUCGUUGCACGAAUAUCAACAAUUUUGAACCUAAUCUUAAGUUGAGUUUGAUCCUAGUCGGACGUAUUGAUGAUGGAUUUGACGAAGAUUACUUUCAAACCCGCUCAAAGACUCAAACCGACCUAACUUUGAAUUGGUUAAAAUAAUUUUAUAAAGUGAAAUGAUUAAACUUCUUACUUUUUGGCAUUGGUGUUUGUGCUUCCAAAUAGUUUUCCAGAUGUUCCCAAUGAGUUUGGAGAAGAGUGUUAGGAUUUCCUAUAAUUAUGCAGAAUAAUUAUAAGCCUAAUUCUUGCAAAACAAUCAUAACCCUAGUUUUAGAACUUUGUGAUUUUCAUAAAGUAAAUAAAUAAUAAAAAGAAUAGUCAUUAAAUUCUAACUUUUAAACAAUGUUCAGAAAAAUAAAGUUAACACCAAAAAUCCUAAUAAUAUCAAAAUCUCAUCCUAAUUAUCAUUCAUAGUUUGAACAGAGGGUGUCUAAAAAAUUGUUAAUGAAGGGAAAUGAGCUUAAAACCCAAUAGAAAAUAUUAAUACAGCUUCACAGAUAAUUUUUUUUUUAAUAAAGAUUAUAAAUAGAAAAUAUAAUGUAUAAUCCUUUUUAUAAAAACUUUUUAGUUUAAACAUGUUAAUACAUUCAAACUUUUUAACAAAACAUUUUUAUAUUAAUGUCAAAACAAUUUUAUAUUAAAUUCAAAUAAAAUAUAUUCAAAAUAUUUUUAUUCUGGUUAUCAAAUAUCAAAUGGUGCUCAAUUAUGUGAGACUUUACAAAUGGGUGGUUAGCCUCAAAUUUGUUUCUUUUACGACGAACCAAAUACUACUAAUACUAGUAAUCUCUAACCAAACCUCUAGAGAUUGGGGUUCAAAUAAAUUACAUUCUUCACUAUAAAAUGUAAAUGUCAACUAUUAUAUCUCAUUAAUAUGGGUUAAAAAGUCAACUAUUAUAUUCAGUAGAUAAGGGCCAAAAAGUCCGAAUAUUAAAUCCUGUUACCUAUGGCCGGCUAAAAAAACCAAAGUCAAACACUUUAUUUUAUUUAUUCAAAUUUAUAAAAACAUAAUAUUUUCACAUGUUUAUGUUAUAAACAAAAAAAAAAUUUAAUAUAUUUUUUAUGCAAAAUAUAUUUGAUUUAUGCAUAAAAACAAAAAUAACAUUUUACACAUUUUAAAAUAACAUGUCAAAAGAAAAUUUUUUUUUUUUUUUACAAAAUCUGCAUUAAUUUCCCUUACGUCGAAAAAAAACUUAGAAUCCUUGAAGAAUUUAAUUAUGUAUAAACAACUUUUCAUCUAAUAAUAUAAGAAAAACAAUUAUAUAUUACUAUUAACUAUUUGUCUAAAAUUAAUUAUAAGUUUGAUAAUCGUAAAAAUUUAUAUAUUAAUAUUAAUAUUUAUAAGUAUCAAUGAUAAUUUAAUUAUUUUAUUCCUUGUUUAAGUAAAAUUAAUAAAUUUCUAAUUUAUAUAAAACUUUUUUCUCUAGUUUGAUUCUAAAAAAUAAAAAUACAUUACUAAUUUAAUUAAACUACAAUUUUUAUUUCAUUAAUUAAAUUUUAUUUAUUUAUUAACUUAACAUCUAUCCUCAUUAGCAUUAUUAUACCAUCAACCAACCUUGUAAUUCACCCAACUCUCAACACCUAAUUAAUAUUCAUAUAUAUUUUCCUCAUUCUCCCAAUAAAGGUAGGUAGGACUCGCUUAAUUAUCUUUUUCUUAUUUUAUUUCUUUUCUUUCUUGCACAAACCACACACUCAUGGCUACAUUCUUUUUUUUUUUUUCCUACAAACUUCCAAAAAUCACACUGUACACACUCGCCAAGGAACUAAAAGCUAAUUUUUAUUUUUUUUAAACACCCAAAUUCUUUUUCUUUUUUUCUUUUUUUCUUUUAUAUAUGUUGUCAAUACCACCCCAAAUCCAUAAAUCCUUUUUCUCUUUUUCUAAUACCCUAAGCAUAUAAUAUAUAUAUAUAUAUAUAUAUUGAAGAUUUAAGAUAUAUUAUUUAUUUAUUAUUGUUUUAGAUCUACUAAAAAAAUAUUCAGAAUUUCCUAUCUAUAUCAAUAAAUCAACAUUUAUUCAUAAAUUUUCACUCUUUUUAUUUAGAAUUUAAAUAAACAAAUUAUAUUCUAGAUUGAGAUUUUUAAAGAAUAUUUAAGUGUUUAAAACUAAUUAACAAAUAUAAAAUACUAAUUAAAAUUCUACUUGGAAAACUAAUUUAAAACCCUAAACCUCCAAACCUUCAGUUCUAUAUUGUCUUCAAGGAUUGAAAUAUCGGUUUUUACGGAUAUAUCGGUACUUCAAUUUUACGGAUAUAUCGGAAAUAUCGGAGAAAUAUCGGUGGAUAUUUUUUCAUAAAUAUCGGUGGAGUGAAAAAUAUUUAAAAUUAAUAGGAAUGCUUGAAAAAACUUCAAAAAAUGAUAACAUAAGUAAGAAUACACAUUUUAAAGUUAUCUUGUAAGUGUAAUUGAUAUAUAUAUAAUUAAGAAGAAAAAUAUCAUAAAUAGAGAUAUAUUGGUAGAUUCGAUAUUUGAAUUUUAAAAAUAAUAUAUAUGAAUUUUGAAAGUGUAUAAAGUUAAAAUUGAGUUAAGAAAUAUGAGAUUGCAAUAGUCCUUAUACUAAGAAAGAUAUCGAUGUAGUUUCAAUAUAUUAUUAGAUGAAGGGAGUUCAUCUUGUUGAAGACAGUAUUUAUUUUAAAAAUUUUAAAAUAUUUUUAUUAAAACAUAUUUUAUUAUAUUUUAAAUGAAAAAUUAAAUUAAUUUAUAUAAAAUAUCUUAUUUGAGAUUUAAUUUUUAAAAUUUUAUUAAAAAUAUGUGAUAAUAACUUUUUCUAUUAAUAUUAAUUUAUUUAAUAAUAAAAAUAAAGGUUGAUAAUUAAUAAUUAUUUAUAUAGAGAGUGGAAAAUUGUUCUCAUGAUUUUUUUACAUAUUUUAUUAUAUUUUAAAUGAUAAAUUAAAUUAAUUUAUAUAAAAUAUCUUAUUUGAGAUUUAAUUUUUAAAAUUUAUUAAAAAAUGCGAUAACAACUUUUUUUAUUAAUAUAAAUUUAUUUAAUAAUCCAAAUAAAAGUUGAAAAUUAAUAAUUAUUUAUAGAAAAUUGUUCUCAUGUUUUUUUUAUUUUUUAUUUUUUAUUUUUUUAUCUCCCCUAAAUCUAAAAAUAAAAAAAAAUAAAAAAGGCACCCACUUCUCUCUCGGGCAUCAAGAACCCUUUUCUGAAGGUGUCUUCUAGUGAGAGAAUCCCUAAAAAGCCCUAUUUUCCUCUGCUACUCUCAAAUCUCAAUCCUCGCAGGUACUAAUCUAAUCAUGUUAUUAUUAUUUUUUUUUUUGCAACCCCCGUUUGAUUCCCAAGAAAAUCCAUCCCCAUUCGAUUUCCGGGAAAAUUCAUCCUCGUUUGAUUUCCGAGAAAAUCCAUUCAAAACUCCCAAAGAAAACCAAAAAAAUUGCUUUUCUUUUGCUCCCUGUGUUUUCUGGAUCUGUUUUAGGGGUCUCUUUGCUGUUGUGCCAUUGGAUUUAAAUUUCACGAACCCUAAAUCCACGAUUUUUGAGCCAGGCUGAAAAACACAACUGCGCGGGCUGGACUGGUAGGAAAUAUCGCGAUUUUUCUCCGAUUUUUCGGUGCUUCACCGAUAUUUCGCCGAUAUAUCGGCGAUUUUGUCGAUUUUUGGCCGAUUUUUCCGUCGAUCGAUAAUCGGUGCCGUUUAUCGUUUCCAUGCCGCCCGAUAACCGAUAUUUCGACGAAAUAUCGGCGACAUUUUCCGAUUUUUCAAUCCAUGAUUGUCUUAUGUUCUUUGAUCUUUUUCUAAUCUCAGUGUAAAAGGAUUUCAGUAUAGAGAAGUUAAAAAAAUCUAAUUUAUAUUUAAGGUUUAUAAUACAAAAAGACCUUUCUAACCUUAUUAAAAAAAAUUAUUUUACUCUAAUUUAUGGUUUUACCCCUAACAACAAAAUGGGGGUUGUCACAUAAGGAGCCAAAUAAUUAAAUAAUUUUUAAAAAAUAAUUUAGAACUUAAAAAAAGUGUUUGGUCCGAUAGGACUGAACUACCUUAUAAUCCGCUGUUAGCGUUUAGCUUGGCACUUAGAAAGAAGAGUCUCUAUCACCUAAUUUAUAGGAAUAAGAGAAUUUUUUUAGUGGGCAACUCUUGUUUAGUGAUUACGCAUAGCCCUUUGUCUUUCAAAAUCUGUGAGUUGUGCCAAUAUAGACCUUAUCCCACGAAAGGUGAACCCGGAUGUACAGAAACUUUCUUGUUCACACUUAUCGGCUUUCAAAAGGGGAACGGAGAGACUUGACUGAUAACAAAAGAAAAGAAGAGAAAGGGACGGGACUUUUACGAGCUCUCCAAAACAGGCUAAGAGUCUAGCUUGUCUUUGCCCCUGCCCUACCUUAGCUUUCCUCUUUAGACUUCUUUUAAGAUUCUGGUCUACCUGCCCGCUUUUCGCCUUGGGAAAGACCUAGCGAUUGCCGGGGCAUAUGAAGAAUACUUCGAAACUGCUGGAUGCAGAAGACAGAUUUUAUGUUGGAAAUGCCACUCCUUCUACUGCUAUUCCCACUUCUGGAAGGAAGUGUUUUUCUAUUUUCUUUAGUAAUAUAUAUGUCACACCCUAAGACCCACUCUAAGGGCGUGACGGUCAUUUUACACCUCAAACCCGAAGGCUUAAAGUAUAACCUGACCCAAACAAUCAUAUUGUAAUUGGAAGUAACCAAUUACCAAAAACCUGUUCAGAGUAGCAGAACAAAAUUCUAAAAUCUCCAAACUUAACUUUAGAACUAAGCAUCCAUUAUCCAAAUAGAUUGCAACUCAACAAUUCAAGUACUAACGAAUUUUUAUAAUCUCCAAAUCUCAACUUCAAUCUAUCAUAAAAAAAAAAAAAUUUAAAAGCUCAAUAUCUAAAUAGCUUCCAAAAACUAAAUAAACCAAAUGAACAUAAACUUAUAAGCUAACAAUAUUCAAAAAUAACAUCCUAAGAAAAAUCCUAAUGAUGACCAAUUUUCCCGCCUAGUCAUCACUCCUCGCCCGAACUAAAGGUACUUGAAAAAUUUUCAACAAUUGGGAAUAAGCUCACAACCCAAUAAGGAAUAUUAAUGCAGUUCAUGGAUCAAAUAUUUUCAUUUCAAAUAGAAGAUAUCAUUAUUAUUUUUUUCUCAUCAAAUAUCAGAGUUUCAAAAAUACCAAUAUAUUCAAAUUUCAACCAACCAUUUUCAUAUCAAAUUCAAACACUUUCACAUAAAAUUCAAUCAAAUCUAUUCAAUUUUCAUUACUCUGGUUAUCAAAUAUCAAAUGCCCAUUUAGGUGUGACUUUUCAAAUGGGUGGCUUACUCCUUAUCCCCAUCUUCACCCAGGCUAACGGGGCCCUCCUUAUUCAGGGGGGAGAGUGGAGCCUCGAGAAGCACUGUUGAGAGGAAGAUCCUUGGCCCCUCUUCAUUCUCUACAGGGUUCCAAACCUUUCUUCAACAUAGGUGACAACGAGUGGGGCAGAGAUGGAAGAGAUCGAACACGGGAAUAAGAAGCAAGCUCGCCUUCCUUUUUUAUCAUUUUGAUAGACGGGAAUGGAGAAAGUAGACAAAACAGACCCGCAUUUCCCAAUCGAGGGUUCCUUUUUCGUCUCGCAUUUCUGGAAAAGAAGAAUAUUGAAAACUCUCCUAACCCAACCCCUUCCUUCGUAGAGCCGUGUAUUGUAAGUGAUCUGAACCUGCCCGGAGUGAGCCCCCCAUAGAGGCAAGUGAAGUUGGUGAGCCGUAUGAUGGGCAACUAUCUCCUGCAGUUCGGAGAGGACUCAACUGUUAGUUAGUAACUCCUUGGAUUCGGGGUGGACCCUUUCACUCUAUUUUAUUAUAUACGGUUCGCAAAAAGAAUGUUUUUUGAUACACCUAAGGACAUGGAUUCUAUAUGAACCAAUGGAUCGUGACAAGUCGUUACUACUAGCAAUGACUUCCUCUUUCAUUACUUCAUCCUUUCUAUAUCCCUCUCCCUUGUUCUUAGUUACUCAUCAAAUGGCACUCAGUUCAUAUCUUUAAGUUCGAUCAUUGACAAGGUUCAAAGAAAGGGUGGGCCAUUGAUAAAGAAUCGAUUCCAAACCACAAUGCUAGCAGAUGGCGGAGACUCAAUUAAUUUCAAAUUUUCAACCAAAAUAAUUAAAAAUAUCCCAAAUGUAUGUGUAUUAAAAGAAACUAAAUUAUUCAUUUAACUAGAAAGAGUAAAUUCAUAAUUUAUUUAAAAAAUAAUAUUAACUAUUAACAUUUUCUAAAAUAUUAUUAUUCAUUUAAAAUAUAUAUAUAUAUAUAUAUAAUUUUUAUUUUUAUUAUAAUGUUAGUUUCAUAUUUUAUGAAUAUUAUAUGUGUAUUAUUUAUUUAUUUCGUCUUUAGAAUUUACAUAAUAUUGAUAUUCAUUUUAAAAUAAAUUAAGGUUUAUGCAUGUGGCUAUUUUUAAAAUACUAUAAUUUAUUCUUAGAAAGUUUAAUAUAUUAUUAGUUAUUUUUUAUAGAAAAUUUGCUAUUAAUAUGUAAGAAAAUCUUUUAAAAAAUGUUUAAUAAAUAAAUAAAUAACCAUUUAGCAAGAGGAGUUUGUAUAGUGGGUGAGAAAAAUGAAAUAAAAGCCACGGCGCUAGGAGAUCUCUUUCGUGGCAAUGAAUCUAUUAUAUAAAUGGAAAAUGUGAAUGAACUAUUUGCCAUGUUAAUUUUUUUGAAAUAGUGUAAGGAAACAUAUUUUGGUUGUUAGAUGUUUUCCAUAAGAAAAGUAUGUUUGGAAACUUAAAUGAGUUCAAUAUUUUUUUUUAAAUAAUAAUAAUAAUAUUUUUUAUUUACAACACUUUAUCUUCUUCUUUUUUUCAUAUUUACAUAAUUAUUUUUUAAAAUAAAUAAAAAUAAUUAAUAUAUGUUCUUAAAAAACUCUAUACUUUAAAUAAGUUCUCAAAAAUAAUAUUUUAUAUUAAAAAUUAUCAAAUAUGUUUUCUAACCGACAAGACAAUUCCAAUCUUAUUCAUAAUUUUCCUAAUAAGAAAUGUGGUUCAUGAUUGGUUGGUGGUUAGUCACUAUCCAUUGAAUUCAUAGAAGUAAAUGUUUAUACACCUCAUCUACCAACAAUGGUUCUAUCCUCAUCGAGUCAUGUGCAUACCAUUUAGUUUACAUUUUAAAAUUCUGAAAUAGAAAAAUGAAAUGAAAAUUAAUAAAAAAAAAUAUUUAUUAAUAUAUUUGGAUUAAUUGUUUUAUAGAAUGAGAAUAUGAAUAAAAAUUUUAUUAAUAUAGAAAACAAAUUCUACUUUUAUGAGGAUUUUGAUUCCUUUGUUCUAUGUGAUAGUGAUUUAUCUUACGUUUGGUGGAUUGAAUAAUAUAUAAUAUGUAUAUUUUAAGAUAUCAUAUCCUUUCCUUAUCCAAUUUAUUUAUAAGAUUUGUAUUUAUCAUUCAAAACUUAUCUUUUAAUAAGUCAAUUAAUACAAAGCUAUUAUGUAGUCAUAUAUUCGUCACUUUUUUUUUUAUGUUGAUAGAGAAUUUAACUUUUUGCCAUUGUAUCUUAUUUUUAUAUAAUUAUAUUAUAUUUAUUUUAUUUUUUAUAUUAAGUUUUAAAUGUAACUCAUAAUUGGUUGGAGGGUUAGAGACUUCGUAAUAUUAGAAAAAUAAAUUACAUCCUUAUCCCACAAACAGGGUAACAACAUAUAAAUCUUUUUAUCUAUCACUCAAAAACCACAUUUUAGUGAGGCAAGCUAUACAAAGCCAUUGUAUAGUUAUAUAUUUGUCUCAACUUUUCUUUAAGUUGACAAUGAAUUUAAUUUUUUGCGCUAAUAUCUUAUUUUUAUAUAACUGUACUCCAUUUAUUCUUCUGUAUUAAUUUUUAAAUGUGGCCCAUAAUUGGUUGGUGGUUUAAUUAUUAUCAAUGGUUUAAAUUGAUCCAAUUAUCGACUAAUGACCUUUCUGAUCUAAUUCACACCUUUAAGUCGUUUGAUCAUUGAAUUUAUAUUAUUAAGAAACAAGUUGCAUCUUCAUCCAGCUAACAUACUAAUGAUAUUACAAGCUUUUCAUUGGCAAUUCAAAAGCCAAAUUUUAGUAGGAAAGGCAAUACAAAGCCAUUUUAUUUUCAUAUAUUCAUUUCAAUUUUUAUUUUUUAUGUUGACAAUGAAUUUAAGGGUUUUUUUUUUCUUUUUGCCCUUUUAUCUCUUUAUAUAUAUAUAUAUAUAUUCCAUUUCUUGCUUUCAUAUUAAUUUCCAAAUGUGACCCUUAAUUGGUUGGUGGGUUAGUCAUUGUCUAUUAAGUUUAGUUGCAUCCUUAUCAAGCUAAUGUGUCAAUAACAUGCUAACAACAUUUAAAAUUUUUCACUAAGACAAUCAAUACAAAGUCAUCAUGUGUCAGGACCCCAAAAUUUGUCCCAAUUUUAUUUUUACAUUAAUUUCGAGCUCAAUUUUAUGCUUAGGUUUCAAAUCCCAAUUACAUGUUUUUUUAACACACUCAUCAUUUAAUAGUUUUUAUUAUUUUAUAUAUUAUAUUAUUAUUAUUACUUUUUAUUAUUAUUAUAUUAUAUUAUAUUAUAUUUUUAUUUUUUUAUUUUUAUUUUUAUUUUUAUUUUCUCUCUCCUCUCUCCUCCCUUCCUACUCCCCAACCACUUCUCUCUCCUCCCAUACUCUCACCACCGCCACCAUCCCAUUUACCAUAAUUUUUUUUCAUUUUGCCCCCAUUUUUUCUCCCCAUUUUCGCCCCCACUUUUCUCUUCUUCACACAUGCUGGCCCCCACCACUCCUCUCUCUCCCCCACUUUUUCCCCCCCAAAUUUUCUCCCUUCUUCCGACGUACGGCCCUUGGAUUUUUUUUCUCCCUUCCCCCUCAUUUCUUUCCUUUGGUCCUCCAUUUUCAUGCUUUCCCCCACAAUUCUCGAGGUCAAGCCCCCCAUUCCGCCCCCAUUUUUUUUCCUCCAUUCUCUCCAUCUUCUUCCUCCUCUCCUCACUCCCCCGGCCGGCUCUCUCCCCAUUCUUCUUUUUCCACCUUUUUCUUCUCUCUCCCACACGGCAGUAGCUCCCCCUGAUUCUUUUUUUUUUUUUUUCAUUUUUGUUUUUAAUUUUUUUUUAUUGCUUCCCUUCUCAAAAGACCCACACAGCCGGCCUCCCCAUCCUCUCUUUUCCAUUUUUUUUUCUCUUUUUAUUUUUCCAUCUUCUCAUUUCUCUCAUCCCCUCACUCCCCCAUCACACACGUUUUUUUAUUAUUAUUAUUACUAUUAUUAUUAUUAUUAUUACCUUUUUUAAAUUUUUUCUUAUUUUAAUUUUAAUAGUAAUUGUUAUUAAAAUUGGGUUUGUAUAUUUAUAUUUGUUUAUGGGUCUUAUGUUUGAGUUUUGUUAAUUAAUAUAAAAUUUGAGUUAAUUUAUUAUUGAUUGAUUAAUUUAAAAUUUGUUAAUUUGGUUUUGUGAAUAUAUUACAUUUAGUGAUCAAUGUAGGAUAUUUGGAUUAUAUCAAUUACAUAUUAUUUAUUGGGAUUUGGGCCUAUUGUUAAUUUGUUAUUUGUUUAGGCUUAUUGAAUUAGGCUUGAAAUAUUAUUUCUCUUGACUAAGCAUAUUUUUUAUAUGGGCUUAUUAAUUAAUGUGAAUUUUGGGGCACAGAAUGUGGGUGAGAUUUAUUGGAUUAUUUGAAUAUUUGAUAUGAGUUUGGCAAAUUUGAAUUAUUUAAUUUGGAUGUGGGACAAUUGUGGUGUAUAUUAAAUUAGGCUUAGAUUAUGGAAUAUUAAAUUUAGACCUAAUAGAAUUUAUUUUAAUUUAUCCAAUUUUAGGUUUGGUUGAUUGUAUUUGUAUUUUUUGUUAUUAAUUUAGAUGUUUUGGGUUAAGACCUAUAGUAAUUUGGGCUCAUUUUAAUUGGCAAAAUUUAUGAUACUAAUUUGAAAUUGGAAUUUAGGAUUGAAUAUCUGCUUGAGAUUUUGCAAAUCUUUGGGUAUUUACAUUUGUGCUAUCUUUGUUUUUGCAUGGAUCCAUUAUGCAAUUUUGUUACGUGGAGUUUGUGGCAAGUUUAUUUUGACACAUAUUUUAUUUCCCACUUUUAUUUGGUUUUAUUUUUAUUAAUUCUUGUAAAUAUUUAUUUGUAUAUAUUUAUUGAAUGUGUACAGAAUUGAACAUCGAACAAAUUAGAAAUUUUGUUUAAAUGAGAGGAAGAAUUCAGUAAAUGUAUUUUGAUAAAACAAUAAUUUUAAAAUAUUAUUUUUAAUAAAAGAAAGUUUUUAUUAUUAUUAUUUAUAAAAAUCCAAAAGAAUUGUUUUUAAUAGAAUUUGAAAAAUUGUUUUUAAUAACAUUGUCCAAAAAUUUCUUUGCUUAAUAAAAAUUGUCCAAAAAUUGUUUUGUAAAUAAAGUUGUGCCAAAAAUUAAUUUUUAAUAAAAUUGUCCAAAAAUAUUCUUUUAAAUGAAUUCUUUUUCUUUAAUUAAAAUGGGAUUAAAAGUGUUUUUUUUUUAGAAAUAGAGGAUUUAAUUUUAUUUUUUUAAAAUUUAAUUAAAAUUUCUUUUGCAAAUAAAGUUAUGUUCGCUUUUUUUAAAUGAAAAUAAAUCAAAAUAUUUUUGUAAAUAAAAUUGUAAAAACUCAUUAUUUUCUAGUUAAAAACAAGUAAAAAUAAUCUUUAUACCCAAAUUGGACUUUUGUAAUAAAUUCUUCUCAUACAAUAAGUGUAAAUAACUUUUCUUAAAAAUUAAAUACAAAUGAAAUUGAAUCAAAUCACUUGAAGAAAAUGUUUUGUAAAUACAUAAAUUGAAAUCAUCAAUUCAAGAUCAUUUUUUUUUAUAAAAUCCUUUGAAAUUUCUUGGAAAUUAUUAUUAUUUUUUUUAUUUUUUAUUAUUUAGUUCAAUUAAUCAAUUUUUGCAUAAUUCUUUUAUUAUUUAUUUUGUAUAUUUUUGUAAUAAGAUUUCAUCAUUAUUUUUGUAUAUAUUGAUUUUCACCAUGACUUGUAUAUACUUAUUUGUAUGAUUAUUUUUUGGUAUCCAUAAUUAAUUAAUUAAUUAAUUGUCAUAAUUCCUUCAAUUCGUUUAGUAGAGGCCGUAUGUAUACGGGCUUAGAGGAGUGUUACAGCUCAUCACCGUACCUUCCCAAUAAGUAACCUGACCUCCGAACCCAAUUUUGAUUUUCCACAGACCUGUUUUUUUUUUUCCUUCAAAAGUCACACUUAGGGUCUUUUUUUCUUAUUUUAUUUUUCCCUUUAAAAAAAAUAAAAUAAGUGGCAACUUCAAGCCUUUUUCUAAAAAUCAAUUUUUCAUUAAACAAAUAAUAAAAAAACGAGUCACGCCGUCGAGUGGGAACGCACAUAAAAAUGCGGGGUCCACACACAUUUGUCUCAAUAUUUUUCCUUUUUUUUUUUUUUUUGCACUUAUAUCUUACUUUUAUAUUAUUAUAUUUCGUUUCUUUCUUUUGUAUUAAUUCUCAAAUGUGAUCCAUAAUUGGUUGGUGGGUUAGUUAUUGUUCAUUGAAUUUAUAUCACUCAAAGAGCUAAGUUGCAUCCUCAUCUAACAUGCUAACGACAUUUAAAACUUUUUAUUUGUUACUUAAAAGUCACUUUUCUUUAAGACAACCAAUACGAAGCUAUCGUGUGGUCAUGUAUUCAUUUAAAAAAAAUAUAUUUUAUUUUUCAUUUUUGAUGUUGACAAUGAAUUUAAUUUUUCACACUUAUAUUUUAUUUUUAUAUAAUAAUAUUCCAUUUCCUUCUUAUAUAUUCAUUUUCAAUGGUGACCCAUAAUUGGUCGGUAGAUUAGUCAUUAUUCAUUUAAUUCAUAUCACUAAAAAAUAACUUAAAUCAUCAUCUAGUUGAUAUGUUGAACCAUAUUUAUUAUUUACAUUUCUUAACCAACUUAAUCUUUUGAUAAUAACGACAAUUCAAAUUCAUGAGAUAGUAUGUUUUUAUAAUUUUUUUAUUAGUAACGGAAAAUUCUCAUCGAUAGACUUUUGUCAACACAUUUUUCCCUAACUAUCAUGUAUUGAGAUUAUCCGUUGAUAAAUAUUUAUUCAGAUAAUGUAUAUUAAUGAAGAAAAGUAAAAUUUUUUGUAAUAUGUUAACAAUGAGUUUAAUUUUUUGCACUAAUUAAUAUUUUAUUUUUAUAUAAUUAUAUUUCAUUUCUUUUUUAUAUUAAUUUUCAAAUGUGGAUAAUUUGUAGGUGGAUUAGUCAUUGUUCAUUAAAUUACAUCGGUUCCAACAUGGUAGAAGCCAACUAUAACAAAAGUUGUAUUAUCAAAUGAAGUUCAUUUAAACCAGAUUUUUCUCAAUUCAAUUAAUCAUUAAGCCAGUCUAUUUUUGGGGUUUUGUUUUGUGUUGCACCAUAAUGCAAUUAAGUUGUUUGAUGAGAAGUCUAGCCAAAUUUGAUAUCGGCUGACCCAUGCAAGUUGUUUGAUGAAAACACAUCUAUUUGUACCAUGGAAAAAAAAUACAUGGCAUUAUUAAAUUUCAGACUAUAAUGUAAUGCCAUGAUCAAAAGGGUUGAAAAUAUGAGAAUAAUUAAACUCAGUAAAUUAAAAUGAUAGCAAAAUUUUAACCACAUUGUUGUGGUCUUCUUGAGCAGUAAAGCAAUUAUAGUAAGCGUCUAAUUAAUCAAGUAAAAUAAUUAUUAUUAAUUAUAAUAAUUUAUUUUUAUUGUAUAGAUAUUAUUAAUGCGCAGCUUUUUGUCUUAUUGACGAGGCAGGUAAUGUUUGCUCACCCAUUUUCCUUGCUCUCCUGUGGAAAUUGUUCCUACAUGCAUUUCAGCCCUUGCAGUGCCUGCGUCCACACUUUUAAUGCUACGUCCGUAUUUCCAUUUAUCAGCUUAGGUUAGAUAAAAAAUGCAAAAGGUAAAAUCAGAUAUAAUAGAAAUUAGGCUCUGUAUGUCAUAUAUUUGUGCUGCGAGUAUAGGAGAUUGGGAAUUUGGAAUUGGAUUGAAGUAAAAAAGUCAAAAUGAAAUUACAAUAAGAGUACGGUAAAGAGAUAACGUUGGGACACCAGUACGGAUGUACACUUCAAGGAAGUAGGCCAUGCCAUGUCAUGCCACCUGGAACAAAAUAAGGGGUUCUACAAAUUCUCUUAUCGGAAUCAUUUGAGAUAUAGAAUGGAUGCAUAGAAGGGAAGGAGACUCCUCCUCCUCCUCUAAAACUAAUUUUUGUGUGUAGGUGAGAAGUUGGGAUUCCCCGAUCAAUUAAACAUGGCUGAGGAGAGGGAUCCAGUAGAGUUGGGCAUGGCACUCGGCGCAGAUUCGAACAUGAAGAAGACGGCGUAACAGCUAAGAAGAGGGCAAAACGGUGGGCAAUCACCGCAGAAGCGAGCAUGGAAAGAGAGAAGGGGACGCUUGAUCAAGAUGAAGAUGAUUUGUGUGUAGGUGAGAGGUUGGGAUUCUCCGAUCAAUCAAACAGGUCUAAGGAGAGGGAUCUAGUAGAUCAGUUGGGCAUGGCACUCGGCGCAGAUUUAAACAUGAAAGAAGACAAGGAAACAAGUAAGAAGUGGAGGGCAGAUUCGACACUGAUCAGCUCAGAUUCGACAAUGGAAGAAAACCCUGUACCGCCUGAGGUGUGGGUGCCAGAAACCUCGCCAAUCUUCGCAGAUACUAAGAUGGAAAUAGACAUCAGCUCAUAUGUGACAAUGGAAGAAUACCGAGUACCGCCGUGGGUGCCAGAAGCCAGGGUAGUAGGCAUGCCAAUCUCCGCAGAUGCGAACAUGGAAAUAGACAGGGAAACGCAUCUUGUAAGAAAUAUAAGUGCUCGUUCCACACAGGGACUCCACGCCCCCGCUGAUGAAGAUGAAGAUGCGGAGCAUAAGAAAUUAAUGGACCGCCGCAUGCACGCGCAAGCGACCCAAGGAAAUGUUGAUGGCUUUAUUAAAAUUUUAGGCUCGAUAUCCUCCGAACAGGAC
rnacentral:lncRNA from 1 species